rnacentral:lncRNA from 1 species
AGGAGCUGAUCUCCUUUGGAAUGCCCUGUAAUGGUUGUUGUCAAGUCUUUCUGACUUCGUGCAUAAUCAUUACAAGAGGAUCAAUGCAUAUAAGUUUAGAAUCUAACAGAUUUCAGUAAAUGACAUAAAUUUGGAAUUCUUGCAUUUACAGUAAGGAUUUGGGAGUGUGAAAAGAGAAUCAUUGAAGUUAUGUUCAAUUGAUCUAGUUCACAAAGUAAAGAUCAUAGACAAACAUAGUAUGCAUACUUGGUGUGUGGCAUGACUAGUGUUUAGAAAACAUAGUGUAUAUGGUUGGAGCAUGGGACAACUAUUGUUUUUAAUUCAAGAAUAAAGUUGAUAGCUAAAACAAUAUACAAUGAAUAAUGUGUAAUCAUAUGGUGAUAAAUAAAAGGUGUUUUAUUUAUGUUCAUAAGUUUUGAUACCAUAUUGGAUUCAAUUAUUCUUAUGUUUCAUUUUGCAUGUUUUGACUUCCAGAAUAAACUAGGUUAUUCUUCCGGAAUGACUAAGUUAUUCAAACCAUCCACAGUCGGUCAUAUGUUGGAAGUAGAUAUGAAUUAAGACUGUCAUGGGUUGGCUUGUAGAGGUCUAAGGUGUUGGACAAAGGGCUACAACACUCAUGAGUGCUCAUAAGUUCUGAGUAUUGGAUUCAACCCGCGCUCAUUGGAAUAACUUCAUGGAUUUUAUCAUGAGUGAUCAUGAGAUGAUAAUAUCUUAUAUUCUUCAAACCUAGAGAUAUGAGUUGUUACUAUGAGUUGAUAGUACAUUGAUUGCACGAAAACGCAUUUGGUAACUCGGUGCUAUAAAACGUGCCUUUGUGUAUGAUUCAACAAGUAGUAGAACAAGCCAUAUGAGUCGAAGUUUAUCCAUUCCUUUUACCUUCGGGAUAAAAGCGAUAUCUGUGGGCCCCUCGAUGAUUUGAUGAUGACAAAUGGAAGUGCUCGGCCGGGCCAGGACUGAUUUGAUUUGUUCAAUUAGUCAGUCGUCAUAAAUCGGAAAUCGGGAAACAACAAAUGGACAGAGAGAAUGAUUAUAAUCCAUGUCUCAGUCCAUAUGAUAUCUAGAAUGGAGGAAUAUAUGAUCCCUUAUCUAAUGGACAAGUCAUUGACAAAGGUCAGAGUUCAUCUACAAGGUCAGAGUUCGACAGAAGCUUUUGAGAGCUACGAUUGCCAGUUGGUUCCUGAAGUCAUACGCAAUAAUAGUUUUAGACUUAUCCAAGUGGGAGACUGUUGGAUUAAUGUCUAAGUCCAUAACUAUAAUUGGUAAGACUUGACCCGACCCGGCAUGGUCCAUUUGGGUUGCAUGGCAUCAUGCACUUGGAUAGACUAUAAUGAGAGAAAUAAGACACUUAUGGUUAUUAAUAUAUUAUAAGUUCUAGUAUAUUAAUAAUAAGAAUAAUAAGAUUAUUUAAUUAGUAUUGAUCAAGAAUUAAUCUAGGAUUAAUUAAGUGAUCAAAAGAAGACUAAUUAAAUAUAUGGGUUAAUUGUGCAAAUCAUCCAUACUUAUAUAGUGGGCUAAUGCUCCAUGGAUUAUCUAGUUGGGCUAAAACCCAUAUGAUGCUCCAUGGAUGAUCCAUGGUGUUUUUGUACCCAUGGAUCAUGGAAAUGAAAGGCCAUGUCAAUUAGGGUUUACAUGGUGUAACCCUAACUAUAUAUGCAUCUUAUUCUUGACCAAAAUCGGCACUAGUAUCAUUCUAGAGAGGGCUAGCCGAUUUUCAUAAAGUGUAGAAUUCUCUCAAGUUAUUCCAAGUGUAUUUGGUGUUGUGUGAACCAUUUGAGGUGUCACACUUGGGGCACUAGGCACUCAAGCUUUAUGAAGACUUUCUACAUCAAAGAGGUAUGUAUUCUAUCUUGUUAUAUUCAUUGUUAUGUAUGCUAGACUAGGAUAAUACCUUGGAUGUUCAUAUUUGCAUGUAUAAUAGAGAAAACAUAGAUCCAAGGUAUUUAGGGUUGCAUGUACACUUAGGAGUGUUAGAAUGCUCUUAACCCAACACGAACAUCCAUAGCCCCAUUAUCUAUCCAAACCACACCCCCACAUCACCACCAACAACCUCCUCAAUCCCAACCUAGUAGCUCCAGAAUGUCACUUAAAGACAUUGUCAAGUCUCUUGCCACUAGCACCCAACAAUUCCAAAAAGAGACAAGAACUAGAAUCUCUAACCUUGAAGCACAAGUGGUAGAUAUAGUCAUAUGCUUAAGCAAGUUGUAGUCCCAUGGAAAAUUACCUUCUCAAACUGAAAAGUACCAAAAUGUUAAUAUGGUAACCUUGAGAAGUGGUAAACAAACCGGAGAUAGUAGCUCAAAGAAUAAGUCAAGGGAAGACGAGGAUGAAAUAGAUAUCACUCCCCAUUCAAUAUCCUAUUAUUAAGAACGAUGCACACAAUGGUGCUCCAAAGAAGACUAUCCCUCUAGUCACUCCAAUGGCCACUAAACCACCAUUCCCCUCCCGACUUGCGUCUUCAAAGAAGAAUAUGGAGGAGAAAGAGAUCUUGGAAACCUUUAGAAAGGUGGAGGUAAACAUUCAAUUAGUUGAUGCAAUCAAGCAAAGCCCUAGAUAUGCAAAUUUUUUGAAAGAACUUUUAACCAAUAAAAGAAAAUUGAAAGCGAAUAAAAACAUUUCAAUGAAUGAAAAUCCAUAUGCGUUUUUUACAAAGAAAAAUCCCACCUAAAUGCAAAGACCUUGGAAUGUUUACAAUUUCUUGCAAAAUUAGGGAUGUUACUUUUAGUAGUGCCAUGCCUAAUCUUGGUGCUUCUAUUAAUGUCAUGCCCUAUUCGGUAUAUGAAUCACUAAAUGUUGGUCCUUUAAAUGAAACAUGUGUCAUAAUUUCAGUUGUAGAUAAAUCAAGUGUUUUUCCUAGGGGUGUCUUAGAAGAUGUUUUGGUGCAAUUGAAUCAAUUGGUCUUCCCAACAAAUUUCUAUAUAAUUGAUUUAGAGGAACAUGUUUCCUCCAAAUCGACUCUAAUAUUUCUUGGAAGACUAUUUUGGAAAACGGCUAGGUCCAAGAUUGAUAUAUAUNNNNNNNNNNNNNNNNNNNNNNNNNNNNNNNNNNNNNUAUAUAUAUAUAUAUAUAUAUAACAAUGGAAUUUGAUUGUGAAACAAUAAGAUUUAAUAUUUAUGAUUUAUGAGGUAUCCUAGUGAUGUCUCAUCAUUAUAUUUUGUUGAUGUUGUUGAACCACUAACCCAAUAGUUUUUUGAUUUGACAAAUGGUGGAGAUAAUUAUAAUUAAAGGGUUUAAUUGUGGGAAGCUAGCCAAGAAAUUGAAACUUUAUUCUCUUGAUCCGAAGGUUGAAAAGCUGGUUAAUAAUUUGGAGACGAAGAAAUCCGCAAGGUUUGAUGUCAAUCAAGUUGAGUGUCAUACCUUGUUAAAGCGGAAAUAUGAAGAGUGAUAGGCUAAGGUCUCAUAACACAAGGUAAAUAGGAGUUCCAACAAUAAUCAUUGGGCAUUUUAAGUUUACAUCAUGUUCAAAACAAUAUUACAUUUGAGUUCCAUACUACAUAGUAUAAUACAAAUCAUAACAUCAAACAUAAAUCAUUGUGGCGUCUUAAAUUGGGUUACCGAUUGUUUCCUGAAAAGCAUGCAAAAACGAGGGUCAACUAUAAAAUAGUUGGUGAGUUGAUAGAUUUAUAAUGAAAUAUCGUUUUAGUAAAAUAGUUUUGUUCAAUGAAAAGUUCGAACUCAGAAAAAUAAUGAAUGCCAAUGUAUUCCUGUUCACAAUGAAGCAUAGCGACCGUUCUUACCGCGUCCUAUGAUGUCCAUGGUUCUCAUGAUAUGUGCUCAUGGAAAUAUGCACUCACGACUCUUAGUGAGAGGGGGCUGUCUACCCCAAAUAGUGCUAUUCAGAAGACCAUCAACUCAAAUAUGAGUUAAUAGGUUGUACUGGUUCUCCGAGGAAUUAACAUACAAAGUUCAUAACAUAGAGUUCAUGUCACCUAUUUCAUAGCAAAAGUUCAAUAAACAAAAUCGUUCCAAGUUCAAUGAGUUCAUAAAACAUGGCUCAAUAAGUUCACAAAUUAGAGUUCACCAAGUUCAUAAAAUAGUAUAGAUAGCUCAUACAACAGUAGCAUGCUUUCCAUUGAAAAACAUGAAAACAAUAAAAAAGGGGGCCGUCAUUACUCACAAGGGAGAGUUCGCGGUUCGAGCUUCACAGUUCGGUGUUGUAGAGAUUGAUUUCUACUAGUAUCCUAUGGAACAAAUAGUUUCUAGUGAGAUAUCAUUCAAUAAAUGAUUAUCUAAGAACUACCUAUCCAACUAGUGGUAUCGCAAAAUGCCCAAAGUUUGUUCGGUUUAUUAUUGGUAAUAUUGAAUUCACGACGCCUUGUGUUCAAAAAUCCACAAAAGCAUGAAAAUGAACUCUACAAAUUAUAAAAAAAAAAAUUUUGGUUCUAACAGAAGGCAUUAGUGUCCAUAAAUUUUAUAGAAAGUUUUGAAUAUCAUUUGAUAUUUAUUUGUAAAUUAAAGCCUAAAUAAUAGGAAAAAUUCAAAAUAAAUGAGAAACAGUUUCCAAAAUUCCCAAAUUAUUUUUUACAUGUUCUCAUAAUUUUUCUCAAGUUGAGAAAAAUAUUGGUUCGGGCCUUGGAGUCAAAUGACCCGACUUUGUAAGUUCAUGCUCCAAUUCAAUGAAAAAUAUGAAUAAAAUACCAAACGGUGACCAAAUCUCAUAAAAAUUUAGAUGACAUUCUUAUUUUGUAAAUAAAUCAGUUAUACAACUAUUUAUAUUUUAUCACUGUAAAUGAUUAUAAUGAAUUUAUGAAAAUUAAAUUCUUAUUUUUGUAGAAAAAUUAGGAUUUCGUUUUAAUACUUGGGGUUUCACAGAGCAUCUCUUAAAAGCGUGACCUUUCAUAAAACAAUUUUUUUCAUAAUUAUUUCGAAGCUAAAUGGGGAUAUUCAACCCCAACAAGUUUUGAAAAUUAGCACUAACUAUGCAUGAGUUCCAUAUGUAGUUGGAAGUUCGAUAAUUUGUGUAGAAACUUCUAUAAGUUUUUAGUUCAUGAAAUUUUCGAUCUUCUGAGAUAAACGUGUCAAGUUUAUAAAAUAUUUUUCUCCAUAUUUAUGGUAGGGUUUAAGGCCCUUGAUCACCAAUAUAAAACUAGUGAUCACAAAAAAAUGAUGUUGCGCAACUGUUUUGUAAAAAUUGUCAAAAAUCUAAAUCUUAAUCAUUUCCUGUGAAUCUAAUUAGGUUUAGAAGCCAACUCAAUAUAACAAAUUUUAGAAAAAUCUCAAUAUUUGGCUAAGAAUCAAGUCAGAUAUGCAUUUUCAAAGUUGGGUAAACAAUUCACAGAGAAUGUUGAAAAGUAAAACUCGUGAAAACAUAGUUCAAACUCCUAUUUCACGUAAUGAUAUCGGUUUUUUUUGCUUGUAUUGAGGUAGAAAAGCAUUAUAUUGAAGAUAUUAUGUAUAUAUACUUGUUUCUAACCAUUUGAUCUUACAUGCAACCAAGGUAGAUGAGACUAAACUUUUGAAAAAUCGAUUUUUUCAUGCUAGAUAAAACUUGCAUGUGCUCACCUUUGCUCUUGACAUUGGUUUGAUCAUGGAUCACCACCAUGUCCAGAACAGGCAACAUGAUUUUGGUGGUAAUCUACAAACAUCUAGAUGAAAAAAAGAUCUCUAGCAAGAACAUGCUUUAGAAAUUUAAAAUAAAAGAUGAAAAUGACUAGAACUUGUGUAGAAAUCGUAUGAGUGUGCUUAUGGAAUUUAGUUUCUUUACCUUGAUGAAUAUAGAUCCUUAAGAGCACCAAAAUAUUGAAUAGAAUUUGUGGCUUUUGUAACACCCGGAAUUCAGAAGGCUAAUUAAGGAAAGAAAAUAUUCAAUUAAGAGGCCAACUCGUCGAGUUCAAAGGUGAGAACUCGACGUGUUGGCAUAAAUGGGCACGUGGGAAUUUAAAGACCAUCUCGACGAGUCGAAGAGUACCAACUAGACGAGUUGCAGGGGGUUUAGGAAACCCUAGAUUCAGGAUUUUGCACCCUAUUUAAACACUUUAUGCUUUAGGGUUUGGCCUCAUUUUCAGCCUCCACUGUUCUAACCCUAGCUCUUAAGACCCUAAUGCUAUUGUGAGUGAUUGUGAUCCAUUUUGAGUAUUCUUUAAUGGGUUAUGAGCACUACAUCAAUCCUAUGGUGUUCAUGAAAACCCUAAAGCUUUGUAUCUAGUUUGUCUAAUGAACAUGCAAUAAUCAUCCAAAGUUCAUAAACCAUAGAUCUAGCAUAUAAUAAUCGAUAUUAUCAUAAUAAAAGGGUUUAGAUAUUACCUUGAUUGUUAUGUAGUAAUAACAAUAUCAAUUCCUCUUGAUCUUGACCUUUGAAUGCUUACUGCCUGAAAUAUUGCACCUCUAAUGGAGUCAUAAACACCAUGAGCAACAAGAUGAAGAAAGAGAAGUAGGAGAAAGCACGAAAACGUCCAAGAAUGCUAAGGGGUCACUUAGCCACAUUUUUGGGAGCCUUAGGGGUCUUUAUAUACUUGUGUAGGCUGCUAGGGUUUUAGGUGAAACCCUAAUUCUCUGCUUAGGCCUUAAGCAACCUAUGAACUCCCUCCUUAGAGGCCUUGGAAGAAAUCUUAUGGGCUUCCCCAUAAAUUUCAUCCACUCCAAUUUUAUGGAGUCCAUUAGCCCAUUAUUGCAAUUAUCAAUGAUUUGCAUAACAGUCCCCUUUAUUUAAUUAAUCUCUUUCAGCCACAAAAUUAACUCUUAUUAAUGCUUGACUAAUAUUAAUUAAAUAAUAUGAUUUCUCUUUUAAUAUACUAUUCAUAUAAUAUAUUAAUAAAUCAUAAUUAAUCCUCUUUCUCCUUAAUUCAUCCUAUCAGUUGCUAUGGUGAAGGCAACCCAAAAGGACCAUGCUCACAAUCAGGUCAAGUACAUACCAAAAUAGUUAUGGGCUUAGACACCUAAUCCAACAGUCUCCCACUUAGAUAAGUCUAAUAACUAUAUUGUGUAUGACUUCGUAACCUGAUUAGCGAUCAUAGCUUUCAAAAGCUGCUGUCGAACUCUAAUCAUAUCAGAAACGUGUCCUUUAGAUAAGGGAUCAUAUAUUCCUCCAUUAUAGAUAUCGUAUGAACUGAGACAUGGAUUUUAAUCAUACUCUCUGUUCAUGUGUUGUUUCCUGAUUUCCGAUUUGUGACGACUGACAACAAACUACAAUUGAACACAUCAACUUAGUCCCGACUUGGCCAAGCACUUAGGGUGUCAUCACUAAAUCAUCAAUGGGCCCACAAAUAUCGCUUUUAUCCCACUUUGGGUAAAAGGAACGGAUAAACUUUGACUCAAUGCUUUCUUGUGCCUACUCAUCAAAUCACACACAACAAUAUGUUUUAUAACACCAAGUUACUAGUGCGUUUACAUAUUAUCAAUGUGUAACCAACUUGCAGAAUACAACUCACAUGUCUCGGUUUCAAAAAUAUAAGAUAUUAUCAUCUCACCAAUCACCUGUGAUAAAAUCCAUGAAGCUAUCCAAGUGAGCGUGGGUUUAAUCCAAUGCUCAAAUCCUAUUCAUAAGCACUCAUGAACAUUGCAACAAACUUUUUCUAUGUCUAAUACACUUUAGACAAUCUACAAACCAAUUCAUGAUAAUCUUCUUUCAUACCUACUCCUAAAGUAUGAGCAACUGUGGAACGUUCGAAUAAUCUUAUUAUUUAGGAGUCAAAACAUUCAAAGUGAAACACAAGAAUAAUCGAAUCCAAUAUGGCACCAAACUUUUGAGUAUAAAUAAAACUCCUUUUAUUUAGUCACCAUAUUGAUUGAUUACACAUUAUUCAUUGUAUAAUGUUUCGGAUAAUCAACUUAUUACUUGAAUCAUAACAACAGUUGUCCCAUGCAUCAAGCAUGCAAACUCUAUUUACCUAUGGUCCAUACUUUGUGAAAUAGAUCAAUUGAAAACAUUUCCAAUGAUGCUCAUUUCACAAUCCCUAAUCCUUAUCGUUCGUGUAAGAACACAAAAUUCUCGCCACUACUAGAAUAUGUUAGAUUCUAACAUUUUAUGCAACGAUCCUUUCAUAAUGUCAUAGCACAAAAGCCACCAAGACUUUGCCAAUGAUAUUACAAAGUGCUCAAUUGGAGAUUGUUACAAGACAAUCCCAUAGAUGUGACGUCUCACAUUCAAAGUACAUUCCUUUGAACAUUCUUUUUGCAUAACAGUUUCUAAUCUAGAUAUAAAUUCUUAACAUCCAACUCCCAAUAUGGAAACAUUUCCAUAUUUGCCAUAUGAAAAAUUAUUGUGAAUAGAGUCUUACCGAUUCAUAAUAAUGUCGAUAUGGUCCAUUCUUUACUAAAAUUCCAACUGCUCACAAGCAACCAAUCCUUAGAGAACCUUAGAUUGUCAUUGACAGUUGUUCAAUUAUUUUAGUCAAACCGGUUCUAAUCCCUUUCCCUCUUAAUACCCUAGGCAAUUGGAAAAUUUUAAAACUGGUCGAAUAUUACAGCAUAUGCAAUCUAUCCUAUACCCGAAGCGUAUGGGACACGAUUCAUAAUAAACAAUGUGAUACUUUAGUAGUUUCUUGCUAUAAUACUCUUAUAUAUAGAAUGCCCCUAUGUUAAAACUUUUCAACAUAACAUUCAUAUAUGUCUUUUGAUUAAAUGUAAUUAAAAUUUGUCGAUCUAAGCCUUUAGAUUUGAAAUGAAGUAUAAUAUUCUCUCCGUUAAUUAUAGCAAAACAACUAUUCAACCUUUUCAACUUUGCAAAUUGAAACUUUGUUUUCUAUAACUAAUAUUGCUAACUUGCAACACUUAAAAUAAUAAUCAUGCUCCCACUAACAUGAUAAUUAUCUCCAUGCUAGCAUAACACUUAUACUCCCACUAGCUUUGACACGUAUUCAGAAAACAGUUGGACUUCUAGAAAUCAAUACUUAUUGACUUCCAAAGUUCAUAUUUCUAAUACAACUUGCUUCGAUAAUCCUUUAUCUAAGCCUCUCAACCUCAUACACCUUUCCUUAGAAAGUUUAUAUGUGAGUCUAAACAAUUUCAGCACUUAUAGCAAUAAUUCUUAAAUGUUUAAACUAAUUGCCAAAUCUCACAAUUCACACUAUGAAGAGGGAUGCCGUAAUCAUAAUUGAAUUUGAGAAUGCAAUUUACACAAUCAUUAUCUCCUUCAAAUCUCUCUUAGUGAAAGCGUUUCCUCACAAUCAUUUUCAUGAAGGAGAGAAACCUUAUGACACUUAGAUUUUACGGUGUAUGUGUUCCUAUCCAUGUGAUUUUGUUAUAACCAUAAUUAUAAGAUAAUGUUUGUGACAAAUACAAACUCUUAUGGACAAAACUUGUUCAUUCUUAAUUUCUUUCAAUCAAGGGUCCCACUAUUGCUUCCAAGUUAUUGAGCAGCUUACCCCUACCUAUCAAUGUACUUUCCAUUGAUCAAGGUGUCUUGCCUCUAUGCAAUUAAUUGAUAACUAAUGGAACUCACAUGCAUAGUUGACCAAACUGGAAUGGCACAGAAACAAGAAUAUGUCAACACGAUAGGUUACACACCUCAAGUCGUGUGCUAGUGUUUAAUAAUAUAUUUAGUCUUGAUUAGUUCUUGAAACUUUUCAAGAGACUCCCACUGACCUCUUGACAUAUAAGACUCUCUUGUCAAGAAACAUUUCUUGACAAACAAAUAUUCAAGAAUUAGUGUGGAUUCUUAUCAAGACAAACACUACACACAAUUGGUAUUAGUUGGUCUUUGUCUUAUCCAAGACAUCACAACUUACCAAUUUUAAAAGUGUGUAAGAGUAAGAAAAACAAUUUUUUGCUUCACAUUUGAUGAGUGUGUUAGAACUUCUUAAGAUGUGUCACUCAAGUCACAAUCUUUGAGUAUGACUCUAAGACUUGAUUUUGGAACGAAGUAUGAUUCACCUAUUGAUUUAACCAUUUAAAAACUUUCUGAUUCUUCUUCUUAGCCAUACCAGCGCACUAAGGUUUACCUAGAGGAUCAGUUGUGAUAUGGUUUUAUAAUAAAUAAGACGAUCAUAAAACAUGAUACAAAAGUACUCUCCCUUAUUUCCAGAUUGGAGAAACUUUUAUCUUUCUGCCUAAUUGAUUCUUCUUAUUCGUUAUGCUAUUAUUGAAACUUUUCAAUAAUUCAGAAUUAUACUUAAUCUUGUAAGCAUAACCAUAUUUACUAUACUUUUAGUAAAUCAUGACAAAUAGUCUUAUUUUUAUUUGUGGUGGACUUGACCAGUGCAUAACAUUGUGUUCUAGUCCUUUAGUCCUUCUCUUGAUUCACAUACUUGUGUGAUCAAGGAAUUAGUCUUAAUUUCCCAAGUACCAAGAUUUCCAUACAUCACAUGAUUCAAAUCAUAUGAUUCCAAGCUUCUGUCCAAUUGAUACUUGGGCGAUGACAAUCUUUCCUUACAUAGAAAAAUUACGCCACUACCAUAAAUAACAUAACUAAGAAUCACAUCCACUUAAUAUUGCUUACAAUAGAAAUACACAAGCAUCAAUUUUCAUAACAUUUCAAGGAUAUAUAAAUAAGACAAAACUCAAAAUUUAUUUAAUUUAUAAUAAGGUGCGGAGAAUUUAUCCUUACAAUGCAAAAUCAAAUGAAAACUAUGCUAUUUCAUAUUCCUAAACAAUCUAUCAUAACUCUAAAAGUAGCAGCUCCAAAAAUCCGAUCAUCGAAUCAUACGAUCAACAUUCAUUUCUUUGCGAUCAGACUCAGCUCACUUCUCCCUUUAAGCUUCCUUUCUUUUCUUGAUCCUACAAAAAAAUGAAAUCUUAUUAUAUCAUGUAUUAAGAAUCUAAAAUAGAAAACUUAAUAGAGUUAGAUAGUGGAUUUUACCUGAAGCAGAGUCAUACAUCUUGACUCUCCUAUCUCUUAGAUCUCUCAGGUAUUUAGGGCAGCUUCGUAACCAAUGCCCCCUCUUUUGACAGUAUAAACAUAUGGAUUCUUAUGGAAUGGUACAAAGGACUAUCUCAGACUCAACCUUUCUCUUGUAUAGUGAAAACUUUUCUGGACUUCCAAUGUUGCCAUUUCCCAUAGAAGGUUGGGACAUUGAUUUACCAGACAAAUUUGCUUGACCGGUGUGCCAAAUCAUCACUGAUUCAACAUGAAUAAGCAAAUAAGUCAAAUCAAUGAGCAUUACGUUGUGGUCCAUCACAUAGUACUCUCUAAUGAACUCACUAUAUGACUCGGGAAGUGACUGAAGAACCAAGUCAACAGCCAACUUCCUUGAGACAUCGACACCCAACAUUCCCAAUCUAUUAAUAUGCAACUUCAUAUCCAAUACAUGAGCACAUACAGACUUUCCAUCUUUGUGUCUUUUUGACAAUAGGGCUAGAGUGACCUUGAACUUUUCAAUUCAUCGAACACGUGGGUUAACGAGAAUUAUUGGAGGAGGUGGAGGAAGUGAAGUAUGAUUUUCAUUUCCACAAUCCAAUCAUGGAACACCAUCUUCACGUGGAAAGAUUUUUCAAACGGAUUUAGGAAGACCAUAGUUGAUAGAUUUUGGCAUCUACAAAAUGGGAGAAAAUUCAAGUUAGUUGAAACGAAUCCUUGAUAAAACACCCAAAUGAAAUAUCAAGGCUAUGACCCAACAUAAUAUUCUACAAUUUGGAAAAGGGAUGUCGUAAUCCAAAUUGUAGAAUAUUUGAAGGUAGGUAUAUGACGAUUUACCAAUUUCCACCAUGAAAAACGAAAAUUGAAAAUUAAGUUUUAAAUGAAUUGAAACUCCUAGAUCUUUUGAGAUUCAUUGAACUUUUCAAUGGCAUGUUUAAAUCUCGAGUGUGUGUUUGAUUUGUGACUGGGAUGCUGAGGAUCACAAACAAGUUGUGGAUAACCCUGCAAAUAUACAUGGUGCCCCCAAUGUUACAGUCACUUAAUCGAUGUGCUGGUUAACCACACAUGCUCCAUCGAUCUAUGAAAAACAUCGAGUCACCUUUGCCACCUUUACUUAGAGCCCAAUUAGUGUGUCAGUUAACCACACACGCUCCACUAACGUCUUAGUAAGGGUACAAAGUGUAAUUUCAUGGAAUAACACCAACUCUACAUUUAUCCUAAAGUGACUAAAAUUUGGGAAUUUAUAAAACAUUUAGUUACUUCAUAUUUCAUUAUACUUGUAAUGGAAGGUUGUGUCGUAUCCUACCUGUUCGGAUAAUGACCCUCCACUAGUCAAGAGUGCGGUGGGUAAGAAUGGAUACCCAAUGACGGUCAUUUUAUAGGCCGCUUCCUUAAACACACCUUAUAGACCAACUUCGUGAAUGAGAUCUGCUAAUGGUAAGACUGACAUUUUACUUAUACAUAUAUAAUAUUAUACUUUUAAUUUUAUAUUUAGUAUAAGGGUGUAUUUUACAUUUUUAAAAUACUAGGUGGUUUAAUUUAAUAAAUUAUACUUUUUAAUUUAAUUAAAUAUAAACUUUAUCAUUAUAGAUUUAUGAACUCUCUUUUAGUUAUACACUUAAUUAAUUUGGUAAAACCAUGAGGGUGUAAUUUGAAAUUUUCAAAAAACUAGGGUUUUAGAAUUUAACAGUUAGAAAUUCGAACUUUUAAUCAAAAAAUUUAAAUUCCAAAACUUGAGGGCAAGUUUUGAAACUUUUCAAAACCAUAUAGAUCAAAUUUCAAAUACAUUUAAUUAAUCAAAUAAUUAGUGAUUAUCAAAAUUUGACCUAAUUCAAUUACUUGCAAGAUAAUUCAUCAAAUAAUUCAAAUAAAUCAAGUUUAUCACAUAAGGCAAUGAAUAUCUAAUUAAUUUGACAAUUAUCUUCUAUUUUGGUAAGGAUAAUCACUCCAAAUCAAUAAAAAUUGGAUUUAUUAGUUAAAACGUUUUUGGUAAUUAUCCCACAGCAAAAUAAGGCAAGAUCCCAAAAAUUCCUCCUUCUGACCAUCUGACUCGUCUAGUAAGGGAUGGACUCAUCGAGUUCCUAGUGGACUCGGCGAGUCCAGGCUCCAGAAGGCAGAAUUUUCGACUUUCAGCAAUGAAUGAUCAUGUAAAACGUUAAAUACAUCAAACAAACAGCCCUGGCUCUCAUACCACUGAUGGGUUAUGAGCACUACAUCAAUCCUAUGGUGUAUAUGCAAACCCUAAAGCUUUGAAUCUAGUUUGUCUAAUGAAUAUCCAACAAUCAUCCAAAGCUCAUAAACCCUAGAUCUAGCAUAUGAGAAUUGAUAUUAUCAUAAUAAAUGGGUUUAGAUAUUACUUUGAUUGUUAUGUAGUAAUAGCAAUCUCAAUUCCUCUUGAUAUUGACCUUUGAAAGCUUAGUGCCUCAAAUUUCUUCACCAAAGUCUCCAAAUUUCUUCAGCAAGCUUGGCUGCUCUCCAAUCACUUUUCUUUUGAGAAGUGGCAGGAGAGUCGUUUGUGCUGGGAGAAGACAUAUACCCCACCAGAUUCUUGAAGUGCAGGGGAGUCUUUUGUUUUUCAGGAGUUAUGUCAAUUUAAGGAUGAGAGUUGUGAGGAGGGGUGUGAUGAGAUGGUUGUGGAGUGGGAAUUUUUCCAGUAGAGGCUGGGGGAGUUUGAUGGUGUGAGAGAGAUUAGUUGGAAUGAUGGACUUGAUGGACUUCUUCACUUCCCCCUCUUGAGGAGUUUAGACCUGGAGCCUCCUCAAGCCAUUGACGAAGGCCAUCAACCUUGUCAAAAAUAGUUUGAAAUUGUGCUUUGAGGGCGUCUGCCAACUGUUGAUUGUUAGGAGUGGAAGGAUUGAAGAGAAAUUGAUGAAUCUACUUGGUGAGUUGGAGAAUUUCCAGCCCAUUUAUGCAACUAUUAAUGAUUUGUAUAACAGUCCCCUUUAUUUAAUUAAUCUCUUUUAGCCACAAAAUCAAUUCUUAUUAGUUCUUGACUAAUAUUAACUAAAUAAUAUGAUUUCUUUUUUAAUAUAUUAUUCAUAUAAUAUAUUAAUAAAUCAUAAUUAAUCCUCUUUGUAACAACCAUAAAAAUUCAACAAAUUUUAACUUUUCAAAAACAACCCAUUUUCUCAAUGUUAUUACAAAAAGGUUUUCAAUACAAUUAUUAUAAGAGUCUUCCCAGAAUCACAUCAUAAAACGUAAUCAUGAGGAGCGGUACGAUCACACCUUUGCCUUGCCAUGGUCUCCUGAAGAACCUGAAAAACAUUAAACCACAACCGUAAGCCCGAAAGCUUAGUGAGAUACCCCCAAAAUACCAACCACAUAUACCAUACACGCAUAACAUGCCAUAUCAUAUCCGAUCACAGAACAGCCAUGCACUUCGGGUCUACUGUGUGACUGGUCCGCCGCACCGGCCAACAGUCCACCUGGUCCACCCUCCGAGUCUAGCCAUAUACAUCGAGUCUGCAGUGUGAUUGGUCCGCCCGCACCGGGCCUUCAAUCCACCUGGUCCACUCUCUGAGUCUACAGUAUGACUGGUCCGCCCGCACCGGGCCUUCAGUCGGCCUGGUCCACUCUCCGAGCCUCGGCACGUCUGGUCCGCCCUCUUGGGGCCUACAGCCUAUCCGGACCGCUCGCUGGGCCUUCGGGACAACCGGUCCGCCCUGGGUAUCUUGGCCUACAGCACAAAGCAGGACCCGCCUCAACCCAACCCCAGUCCAACAACCAUGUGCACAUAAACAUACAAUCAUAUAACAAUUCACAGUCAACAAGCCGAUCUAGCAGAUCACAUAACAUAUCAUCAUCCUAACCAGGAUACCGACCUAACCGGUCACUAGCAUAGCAUCACCCUACAUAACAGGAUACCGACCUUAACCAGGUCUCUAACAUAUACCAUCCUAGCUACCAGGAUGCAAACAUAUCAAGGCAAUAACAUAACAACAAAUACCCGGAUCUCAAUCCGAUAAAGGGUCGGCCUUGGUGCCUUAGACCCUGUUGAUAUAGUGAGGAUAACUCACCUUGCCACUGCCGAAACUCUGAACUGAAGAAGCAGAUUCUCGAAUCACCGACUCACCGAAAAUCCCGAACUAGCCAACAUAGCACAAAUAAUCAUUAGGCUAAGCACAAUACCCUUCCAAGGAUAAAUUGACCAAUUUACCCUUAACUCAUUCCGGCCCAACACUGGAUAAGCUCUCAAGCCCACUAAUGGCCCAAAGUCCAAAGGUCCGAAGCAAAGCCCACUAUUGGCCCAAUUUACUAAAUUGGCCCCACCACACCAAAUGGGCCUAGACCCAUGGUCCAUAACAACUAAUGGGUCCACCAUACUCCAUCCAAUAUGUCCAGUCACGGCCCAUAAUCCAGCAGCCCAAUAACAGCUCAAUCCCUAAGGCCCAAAACGGAAAACCCAACAGAGGGAGUACGCUGGGCGUACACACUAAUUUGCAAUUGGGGAUCGAGGCACUGACCCGCUACGCGGGGCGUAACUUCGUUGCUCAUUAAGUCCUCAUAACUUCUUAAUGGCUUAAGCUCUUAAGCCCAAACUUUAGAUCCUUAGGCCAAAUAUGCCUAAGAUUCAUAAAGUCUCAAACUUUAUCACUUGGGACGUCCAUAAAGCUCUUAAUCCAAGAUCUUAAUCCAUUAAGACCUACUUAUCUCACACAUGGAACAACCACAGCCCUUGGGACCUCAUUUUUCGCACUCAAGACCUCUCCAAAGGUUUGAAAGGACAGAUAAACUCGACCAACUCAAAACAUGCAUCAAGAUGAGGACUUUUGGGACAAGAAUGAUGUCAAAACUUCACAACAGUUAGAUCUAUACAAUAUAAAUGACAAGCAAGAAGCUUUAUACCUCAGAUAGGCUCCAAAGGAUGAUAUCUUUCCAGAUUUAUAAGCUCCAACCACUCAACUCCUUCUUUGACAACUUCCUCUUUCUUCUUCUAGCCUCUCCUUUGCCAAAAUGAUCUUUCCAAGGCCAACACACUCAACAAUGGAGGUGGAACGGCUAUCUAGGGUUUCUGGGGUUAAGAGAGAGUUUAUGGAGGCUAGGGUAAGAACCAACAUGUUCCUUAUAUAGUGGAUGACCUUAAUUUUAGGGUUUUAGAACUCUGAGAGUACGCUGGGCGUACCUCUAGUACGCUGGGCGUACUCAACCUUGCACCCGCGUCCAAUUACGCUCUUAUGCUGGGUGUAAUCCCAGCUUACGCUGGGCGUACUCGGCGUGCCCCAACUUUCAUAUUUGGCCCUCUCUUCCACUUUUCCUACAAAAGGACCAAAAUACCCUUCCUCUAAAAUCCUGGGGACUCACAAAUAAGUACUUUUAGGAACGGGGGGUUACAAUUCUCCCCCACUUAAAUUAGGCUUCGCCCUCGAAGCCUGCGACAACUCGACUCCAGAACUUCUCCCGCAACACACCACCUGGCAUUAACCAAACCCGGUUCCUUAAGACACAACCAUUGAAAUCUGAAACUCAACCUUUCCCUUUUCUUGCGGUGUUCUGGCCACCGCCUCAAGCCGGCCACCGGCUUCACCCUUUGAUAACCACACUUAUCAGAUUCUACACUUACCAACCGAGUACCACUCCAUGGCACUUUUCUCGAUCCUGAUCACAACAAUCUCUUGACUCUUACGAGCUAGAUAUAACCCUGAACCAUCGGGUUCCCGAUCCAAGUCCAACUCUAUCCAUUCCAUGCUGACAGAAUGACACAUUCUUCACCUCAGAGCAACUCCCACGAGUUCUCCUCUUGCAAUCGCAUGCACAUGUUGCACUAGCUCUAGCACCAUCGGGUUGGGAAGACCCGUCACACUGACGACACCUCCAAACAUCCCCCAGGAUGAAUCACCACUACAUACACAAUUCCUUGAUCAGAAUCAAACUGGGAAUCCAAGACUCCAUCCCUGCACCCCUUCCGAGCCUCUUGGCUCUACACCCGCGGAAUCCCUUCCGCGACCUCAGCAGUCAUCCAAUCCGGAUCUGAUUCCAUACCACUGCCGCAAUCACGCUGCUCAAAGACCAUAAUUGGAUCAAUCUAAUCAUAACUCUGCGCUGCCGCUUUCACUUCCGUGAAUUUACACUCCCCCUUGGAGCUACAUUCCUCUCUAUUUUCUUACCAAGGAAAUACACUUGGCCGCCUUGUCACUGCGACGAGUGCCACGGUGCUCGCCCAACGCUACACCACUCCCUUAUAGCAUAACCGCUAUCCAUGCAACACACAUGCUCUGAAUCUGCUUGCAAGGACUCUCGAGUCCAUGCACCAUCUUCACUAAUCAAGAUCAAUACCCGGGGCCAGACCUUCUAAUGCUAACACAUCGCGACAUACUCAACCCAUUUCCUCAAUCUGGUCUAACAAUACCUGUAGAGUCUUCAGCAUGACUGAACCGCCUUACCAGGCCUUCAGCCAAUCUGGACCACUCUCAGAACCUUCAGCCAAUCUGGGCCGCCCUCCAGGGCCUUCAGUCUGGCUGGACUGUCCUCCGAGCCUUCGACCUGAGUGGUACUCCUAUCGGCCUUCAGUCUAUCCGGACCGCUCAACUAGCAUUCAUCAUUCCGAGUUAUCACUCCGGGAAAUCCUCCCAUGCAUACUGUUCUAGCCCUCUAGGGGUUCCGAACUCUAUCUCCAUCAUACAUACUCAAUCCCGGCCUGAUCCCAGGCCCUCCACAAUCAAAUACCCUUGGUCUGUAUCCCGCCCCGCAUGCCUGCCACUUACUCAUACCAGCCUACGCUCUUGGCUGACAGAAACACUGCUGAAUCCCAAACAGCUAAACAACCUCACAUGCUCAUCAAUCUUCCGGAGAAUUUUCCAAUUCUCCCCCACUUAUAGCACUGACUAUCAAUCACCGAUCAUCAUCAUCGACCUCCCUCAACCACCUUACACCACACAAACACUUAUACACGAACUGAUCCCUACUAGCACGAGCAACCUUCACAAAAUCACAUAAUAACACUGAUCAUCCCGAGCUCGAAAGAAACUCAAUCUGCAGCUAACCACUCCUCAGAAUGCAGAUGCUACCCAAAAUUCAAACCAGACGCCAGAUUUCCACUAAUAACCCCAUGAAGGAUAACCAACAAUAUUACCAAUUCUAAACCCAUAACCAUACCAACCCUCAAAGAACAACGAAUACCAUACCGAAAACCACACAACGAGACUAACAGAUAAACAAUAGUCCACAAUAAUCACAAGAUAACAAGAUAUCAAGAAAGAAACAUACCCGCAGCUGCAUCCGGCACUGCUCUGACCUCCUCUGCUGAAAGCUGAAAAGCAUGGCCCUGAGCCCUUGGGGGCUCCGCUCCACCCUGACCUCCGCCCGUGAUCGUCAAAGUGGCCGGUGCUGGAGCCUGCACCGGUCUUGCAGCAAGCUGUGGACAGUUGACCCUUAAGUGCCCAACUUGAUGACAGUGAUAACAAAUCCUCAAAUCCCGAACCGGCACCGACUGUCGACAAUCCCUCGCCUAGUGCCCCUCAUUUCCGCACUUGCGGCAAGCACCACCGGACCUACAAACUCCGGUGUGACCCUUCCCACACUUUCCACAAGUGUGGCUGCUCUGAUCUCCUACCCUAGAAUCAACGGUCUUGGACCGUUUCGACGCCGGCUGUGACUGCACCGGAGCCUGCCUCGGCUCUCGCAACUGCAACUCAAUCUCCAACUCACGCCGCCUGGCGGCCUCCUGCAACUCCAACAAAGUCUCGCACCUCUGCGUAGACACAAACUGUUGAUAUCCUUCUUGAGCAUACUCAGAUAUCGGGACUUCUGAGCUUGCUCCGAAGCGAACUCAGGGAAAAACAUCGCCCCCACAGUGAACAUCCUGGUGAUCUCCGUUACCGACUCCAAAUCCUGCUUCAGCUCAAGAAACUCCUGAGCCAAUCUCUCCUUCUCAACCCGCAUAACAUAAUGAGUGCUGAACAUUUCUCUAAACUGAUCCCAUGAAACCGCAACCCUCUGGGCAUCCGAAUAUGACCCCGUGGUCAAUCUCCACCAAUCCUUCGGCCCGAGGCUCAACAGGUUCAGAGCACACCUUACCCUCUGAUCAGCAGGGCAUGAACACGUGAAGAAAUACCCCUCCACAUCCGACAACCAUUUCAUAGCAACAAUCGGGUCCUGAACUCCAUCAAAGGUAGGAGGCUUCGUAUUAUCGAAGUCCCGAUACUAAAAACCUCGACCGGCUCCUCNGCCGCUGUAGCCGCCGCCGCAACCGUCUCAGUGAGAGCCGCAUAGCGCUCAUCAAAAUACUCAACCAUGCCGGUCUUGAUCGACCCAAAUAGUUCCGGCAGCUCGGCCCGGAACAACGCAACAACCUCAUGAUGCAGGAUCUCACGAAUCCUAGCAUACAACUCGCCUAUGCUCAUCUAACCAGUAACCUCGGGUGGUACCGACCCACCCUGACCGUCCUCUCCAGCUCCUGAUCCUGACCCGGAUCCGCUCCCAGCAUGCCUCGUGACCACCAUACUGAAAAACAUCACAAAAUCUCAGACACUUCCCACUAUCCCGAGAAUCAACUCUUAACCCAAUCCUAGAGGUCAUGGUUUCUCUGAUACGCGUAUGGGUCCUGUGCUUUCAGUAGUACGGGCCCAUACUACCUUCCACACCUACCCAUAUUUGUAUGAAGUACUACCACAAUACCCUAGAGAANNNNNNNNNNNNNNNNNNNNNNNNNNNNNNNNNNNNNNNNNNNNNNNNNNNNNNNNNNNNNNNNNNNNNNNNNNNNNNNNNNNNNNNNNNNNNNNNNNNNNNNNNNNNNNNNNNNNNNNNNNNNNNNNNNNNNNNNNNNNNNNNNNNNNNNNAGCUCAAAAACAAAUAUCAUGUAUGGUAUUUUGGGGUUACUUACUGGCUCCGGCUGAUCGUACCUCCGCGUCCUCCUUUUACUCAUUUUGAAAACCAUUUUAAAUUCUCUUUUAAAAACUCUCCCUGAUUUGAGACUGGAUUCACACGAAUGUUCCUCCAAUUCACUCAAACCAAGGCUCUGAUACCAACUUGUAACAACCAUAAAAAUUCAACAAAUUUUAACUUUUCAAAAACAGCCCAUUUUCUCAAUGUUAUUACAAAAAGGUUUUCAGUACAAUUAUUAUCAGAGUCUUCCUAGAAUCACAUCAUCAAACGUAAUCAUGAGGAGCGGUACGAUCACACCUUUGCCAUGCCACGGUCUCCUAAAGAACCUGAAAAAACAUUAAACCACAACUGUAAGCCCGAAAGCUUAGUGAGAUACUCCCAAAAUACCAACCACAUAUACCAUACACGCAUAACAUGCCAUAUCAUAUCAAUACACAGAACAGCCAUGCACUUCGGGUCUACUGUGUGACUGGUCCGCCGCAUUGGCAAACAGUCCACCUGGUCCACCCUCCGAGUCUAGCCAUAUAUAUCGAGUCUGCAUUGUGAUUGGUCCACCCGCAUCGUGCCUUCAAUCCACCUGGUCCACUCUUUGAGUCUACAGUAUGACUGGUCUGCCCGCACCGGGCCUUCAGUCGGCCUGGUCCAUUCUCCGAGCCUCGGCACGUCUGGUCCGCCCUCUUGGGGCCUACAGCCUAUCCGGACCGCUCGCUGGGCCUUCNCCGCCCUGGGUAUCUUGGCCUACAGCACAAAGCAGGACCCGCCUCACCCCAACCCCAGUCCAACAACCAUAUGCACAUAAACGUACAAUCAUAUAUCAAUUCACAAUCAACAAGCCGAUCUAACAGAUCACAUAACAUAUCAUCAUCAUAACCAGGAUACCGACCUUAACCAGGUCUCUAACAUAUACCAUCCUAGCUACCAGGAUGCAAACAUAUCAAGGCAAUAACAUAACAACAAAUACCCGGAUCUCAAUCCGUUAAAGGGCCGACCUUGGUGCCUUAGACCCUGUUGAUAUAGUGAGGAUAACUCACCUCGCCAUUGCCGAAACUCUAAACUGAAGAAGCAGAUUCUCGAAUCACCAACUCACCGAAAAUCCCGAACUAGCCAACAUAGCACAAAUAAUCAUUAGGCUAAGCACAAUACUCUUCCAAGGGUAAAUUGACCAUUUUACCCUUAACUCAAUCCGGCCCAACACUAGGUAAGCUCCCAAGCCCACCAAUGGCCCAAAGUCCAAAGGUCCGAAGCAAAGCCCACUAUUGGCCCAAUUUACUAAAUUGGGCCCACCACACCAAAUGGGCCUAGACCCAUGGUCCAUAACAACUAAUGGGUCCACCAUACUCCAUCCAGUAUGUCCAGUCAUGGCCCAUAAUCCAGCAGCCCAAUAACAACCCAAUCCCUAAGGCCCAAAACGGAAAACCCAACAGAGGGAGUACGCUGGGCGUACCCUCCUUGGUACGCUGAGCGUACACACUAAUUCGCGAUUGGGGAUCGAGGCACUGACCCGCUACGCGGGGCGUAACUUCGCUGCUCAUUAAGUCCUCAUAACUUCUUAAUGGCUUAAGCUCUUAAGCCCAAACUUCAGAUCCUUAGGCCAAAUAUGCCUAAGAUUCAUAAAGUCUCAAACUUUAUCACUUGGGACGUCCAUAAAGCUCUUAAUCCAAGGUCUUAAUCCAUUAAGACCUACUUAUCUCACACAUGGAGCAACCACAACCCUUGGGACCUCAUUUUUCUCACUCAAGACCUCUCCAAAGGUCUGAAAGGACAGAUAAACUCGACCAACUCAAAACAUGCAUCAGGAUGAGGACUUUUGGGACAAGAAUGAUGUCAAAACUUCACCACAAUUAGAUCUAUACAAUAUAAAUGACAAGCAAGAAGCUUUAUACCUCAGACAGGCUCCAAAGGAUCAUAUCUUUCCAGAUCUAUAAGCUCCAGCCACUCAACUCCUUCUUUGACAACUUCCUCUUUCUUCUUCUACCCUCUCCUUUGCCAAAAUGAGCUUUCCAAGGCCAAAACACUCAACAAUGGUGGUGGAACGGCUAUAUAGGGUUUCUGGGGUUAAGAGAGAGCUUAUGGAGGCUAGGGUAAGAACCAACAUGUUCCUUAUAUAGUGGAUGACCCUAAUUUUAGGGUUUUAGAACUCUGAGAGUACGCUGGGCGUACCUCUAGUACGCUGGUCGUACUCAACCUUGCAUCCGCGUCCAAUUAUGCUCUUACGCUGGGCAUAAUCCCAGCUUACACUGGGCGUACUCGGCGUGCCCCAACUUUCAUAUUUGGCCCUCUCUUCCACUUUUCCCACGAAAGGACCAAAAUACGCUUCCUCUAAAAUCCCGGGGACUCACAAAUAAGUACUUUUAGGAACGGGGCGUUACACUCUUUCUCCUUAGUUCGUCCUAUCAGUUGCUAUGGUGAAGGCAACCCAAAAGGACCAUGCUCACAAUCGGGUCAAGUACAUACCAAAAUAGUUAUGGGCUUAGACACCUAUUCCAACAUUCUUGUGGGUGUUUGAAGCUCUUGGAAGGAAGAAAAGUUUGAAGGAACAAUGAAGAGUUGCUAGAUCCAGAAACCACUGUUGAGAGAAAAACUUUGAGAAACACUUGAACAAAUUGUUAGAACAAGUAUAUAGCGGAAUUGUUAAUCUCGAAGGAUCUGUUAGCUCAACAAUAAUAUUAAGUGUUAGAAGUUAGUGAGUUAGAUGCGGAAAAUUAAAUAAAUGUAAAUGACAACAAUUGUUAUAUCAAGUAUACACAAAAGCAGAUUCAUAACGAGGAAUGCAUUCAAACCAAGUUAGUAAAUGAGAUCUAGCUUAGUGAUUAAGUCACAAGUGACUUGCUCUUUAAAAGAGAUAGUAAUCGAUUUUGAGAAUAGGAAGGUUUGAUAACUAAGAUAGAAUGAAAACUGAUGUGUAUUAGAAUUUGAGAAGAGAUUCACAUCGGUACAAUUACACGAGGAAAGAACUCUAUUUAUAGAGACAUUUUAACAACUCUAAAAGUAGCCAUGCAAGGCAUACUGGACAUUAGAGUGUUUUACAGAAAAAGACAAAUAAACUAAGUAAUGAUAAGGACAGCGAUGCAGACGACUUCGGAUGGCCAGAUUGCUUGACUGCGGUUGCUUAGAGGCUGCGGUAGCUGAAGUUCAAGAGGGUCACUUUUUUGAUUCAACAAUUUCCCCUAAGUGACCUCUUUAACUUUGAUCAGUUCUCAAGUUUAAGGAACUUAAUCAGGAUCCACCAAAACUUCCUGACGUUCUCUAACCAGUUGAUUCUUCUUAGUAUUUCAAACUUGACUUCUGCGGUUGUAUGUUUGGAUUUUUCAACUAAGUUGCGGCAGAUCUCAAGUUGUUUCUUGGUUAGACGGUGCAUAACAGUCAUAGGAAUAAAAUAUUUGACGUUGUCAGUCUUCCUCUUGAAAAUAACUCCUAAUUUAGGGUAGUUGGUUGCUUCUAAUGAUCUUUCUUCAUAGCCUUCGGUAGGCAUGGGUGCGGGGUCAAGUGGUGGCAAGUCAGCAAUCUUGGAAAUGAUGGGAUGAAUGUCUGCAUCUAUUUUGGCGAAGUUACAGACUGUUUCCUUAAGAAAUGUAUUGGCCCUUUCAAGUGCGAUCUUCAUCUUCGAAUGCUUCUCAAACGUGUGCUGAAAGACCUUGGCAAUGAGAAACACUUCUUCUGGGUUCAUACACGGGAAAUCAGCCUUGGUGCGGAUGUAGUCGUGCUCCCUCCUGGGCAGGGUGUACUGGAUAAACUCAGCCUUCAUGAACUUCCAGAUCUUGUAAUUUUUGACGGCUGAUGGUCUAUCGUUAGACCAUAUGUGUUCAACCGGAGAGGCAUGCUUAACAUAGAAUUGGCUAAGUCUCUCGAACUCCAUCGGAAGUCUUUUCUCGUUGGGAAGGCUGCGGUCGAACUACUCAAAUACAGUGAAGUAUCUAGCAUUCGGUGAGAUUGGGAUAUCCCAGUAACCAUCUGAGGGGGGUUCCGCAUAGGUAAGAUGCGGGACAUAGUCAUCAUCAAGAAGCCUUCUGUGAGGAUUGACCCAAGAGUUUAUUAGGGACUCAUCCAUAACCGAGUCGAAUCCGCUAUGUCUCCAAAUCUCUUCAGCAAGCUUGGCUGCUCUCCAAUCACUUUUCUUUUGAGAAGUGGCAGGAGAGUCGUUUGUGCUGGGAGAAGACAUAUACUCCACCAGAUUCUUGAAGUGCGGUGGAGUCUUUGGUUUUUCAAGAGUUAUGUCAAUUUGAGGAGGAGAGUUGUGAGGAGGGGUGUGAUGAGAUGGUUGCGAAGUGGGAAUUUUUUCAGUAGAGGCUGGGGGAGUUUGAUGGUGUGAGAGAGAUUAGUUGGAAUGAUGAACUUGAUGGACUUCUUCACUUCCCCCUCUUGAGGAGUUUAGACCCGGAGCCUCCUCAAGCCAUUGACGAAGGCCAUCAACCUUGUCAAAAAUAGUUUGAAAUUGUGCUUUAACGACAUCUACCAACUGUUGAUUGUUGGGAGUGGAAGGAUUGUAGAGUAGUUAAUGAAUCUCAUUGGUGAGUUGGAGAAUUUUCGGCCCAUUUAUGCAACUAUCAAUGAUUUGCAUAACAGUCUCCUUUAUUUAAUUAAUCUCUUUUAGCCACAAAAUCAAUUCUUAUUAGUUCUUGACUAAUAUUAAUUAAAUAAUAUGAUUUCUUUUUUUAAUAUAUUAUUCAUAUAAUAUAUUAAUAAAUCAUAAUUAAUCCUCUUUCUCCUUAAUUCAUCCUAUCAGUUGGUAUGGUGAAGGCAACCCAAAAAGACCAUGCUCACAAUCGGGUCAAGUACAUACCAAAAUAGUUAUGGGCUUAGACACCUAUUCCAACAUUCUUGUGGGUGUUUGAAGCUCUUGGAAGGAAGAAAAGUUUGAAGGAACAAUGAAGAGUUGCUAGAUCUAGAAACCACUGUUGAGAGAAAAACUUUGAGAAACACUUGAACAAAUUGUUAGAACAAGUAUAUAGCGGAAUAGUUUAUCUCGAAGGAUCUGUUAGCUCAACAAUAAUAUUAAGUGUUAGAACUUAGUGAGUUAGAUGCGGAAAAGUAAAGAAAUGUAAAUGACAACAAUUGUUAUAUCAAGUAUACACAAAAGCAGAUUCAUAACGAGGAAUGCAUUCAAACCAAGUUAAUAAAUGAGAUCUAGCUUAGUGAUGAACUCACAAGUGACUUGCUCUUUAAAAGAGAUAGUAAUCGAUUAUGAGAAUAGGAAGGUUUGAUAAGUAAGAUAGAAUGAAAAUUGAUGUGUAUUAGAAUUUGAGAAGAGAUUCACAUCGGUACAAUUACACGAGGAAAGAACUCUAUUUAUAGAGACAAUUUAACAACUCUAAAAGUAGCCAUGCAAGGCAUACUGGACAUUAGAGUGUUUUACAGAAAAAGACAAAUAACCUAAGUAAUGAUAAGGACAGCGAUGCAGACGACUUCAGAUGGCCAGAUUGCUUGACUGCGGUUGCUUAGAGGCUAUGGUAGCUGAAGUUCGAGAGGGUCACUUUUUUGAUUCAACAAUUUCCCCUACGUGACCUCUUUAACUUUGAUCAGUUAUCAAGUUUAAGGAACUUAAUCAGGAUCCACCAAAACUUCCUGACGUUCUCUAACCAGUUGAUUCUUCUUAGUAUUUCAAACUUGACUUCUGCGGUUGUAUGUUUGGAUUUUUCAACUAAGUUGCGGCAGAUCUCAAGUUGUUUCUUGGUUAGACGGUGCAUAGCAGUCAUAGGAAUAAAAUAUUUGACGUUGUCAGUCUUCCUCUUGAAAAUGACUCCUAGUUCAGGGUAGUUGGUUGCUCCUAAUGAUCUUUCUUCAUAGCCUUCGGUAGGCAUGGGUGCGGGGUCAAGUGGUGGCAAGUCAGCAAUCUUGGAAAUGAUGGGAUGAAUGUCUGCAUCUAUUUUGGCGAAGUCACAGACUGUUUCCUUAAGAAAUGUGCUGGCCCUUUCAAGUGCGAUCUUCAUCUUCUGAUGCUUCUCGGACUUGUGCUGAAAUACCUUGGCAAUGAGAAACACUUCUUCUUGGUUCGUAUACGGGAAAUCAGCCUGGGUGCGGAUGUAGUCGUGCUCCCUCCUGGGCAGGGUGUACUGGAUAAACUCAGCCUUCAUGAAUUUCCGGAUCUUGUAAUUUUUGACAGCUGAUGGUGUGUCGUUAGACCAUAUGUGUUCAACCGGAGAGGCAUGCUUAGCAUAGAAUUGGCUAAGUCUCUCGAACUCCAUCGGAAGUCUUUUCUCGUUGGGAAGGCUGCGGUCGAACUACUCAAAUACAGUGAAGUAUCUGGCAUUCGGUGAGAUUGGGAUAUCCCAAUAACCAUCUGAGGGGGGUUCUGCAUAGGUAAGAUGCGGGACAUAGUCAUCAUCAAGAAGCCUUCUGUGAGGAUUGACCCAAGAGUUUAUUAGGGACUCAUCCACAACCGAGUCGAAUCCGCAAAGUCUCCAAAUUUCUUCAGCAAGCUUGGCUACUCUCCAAUCACUUUUCUUUUGAGAAGUGGCAGGAGAGUCGUUUGUGCUGGGAGAAGACAUAUACUCCACCAGAUUCUUAAAGUGCAGGGGAGUCUUUGGUUUUUCAGGAGUUAUGUCAAUUUGAGGAGGAGAGUUGUGAGGAGGGGUGUGAUGAGAUGGUUGCGGAGUGGGAAUUUUUCCAGUAGAGGUUAUGGGAGUUUAAUGGUGUGAGAGAGAUUAGUUGGAAUGAUGGACUUGAUGGACUUCUUCACUUCCCCCUCUUGAGGAGUUUAGACCCGGAGCCUCCUCAAGCCAUUGACGGAGGCCAUCAACCUUGUCAAAACAGUUUGAAAUUGUGCUUUGAGGGCGUUUGCCAACUGUUGAUUGUUGGGAGUGGAUGAAUUGAAGAGUAGUUUAUGAAUCUCGUUGGUGAGUUAGAGAAUUUCCGGCCCAUUUAUCCAACUAUCAAUGAUUUGCAUAAUAGUCCCCUUUAUUUAAUUAAUCUCUUUUAGCCACAAAAUCAAUUCUUAUUAGUUCUUGACUAUUAUUAAUUAAAUAAUAUGAUUUGUUUUUUAAUAUAUUAUUCAUAUAAUACAUUAAUAAAUCAUAAUUAAUCCUCUUUCUCCUUAAUUCAUCCUAUCAGUUGCUAUGGUGAAGGCAACCCAAAAGGACCAUGCUCACAAUCGGGUCAUGUACAUACCAAAAUAGUUAUGGGCGUAGACACCUAUUCCAACAUUCUUGUGGGUGUUUGAAGCUCUUGGAAGGAAAAAAAGUUUGAAGGAACAAUGAAGAGUUGCUAGAUCCAGAAACCACUAUUGAGAAAAAAACUUUGAGAAACACUUGAAUAAAUUGUUAUAACAAGUAUAUAGCGGAAUAGUUAAUCUCGAAGGAUCUGUUAGCUCAACAAUAAUAUUAAGUGUUAGAAGUUAGUGAGUUAGAUGCGGAAAAGUAAAAAAAUGUAAAUGAAAACAAUUGUUAUAUCAAGUAUCCACAAAAGCAGAUUCAUAACAAGGAAUGCAUUCAAACCAAGUUAGUAAAUGAGAUCUAACUUAGUAAUUAAGUCACAAGCAACUUGUUGAGGCUGUAGUGGAGGGAGAGGAUUCUUUGUGCAACGACAGUGAUUAUUUUGAAAGUUGUGGUUGAAAGGUGGUCGGUUGUACUUUGAUUUUUACGAAAUGAAGGUGGUAAGCGAUUGAAUUUUUGACUGACAAGGGCAAUGGCAUUUUGAAAUUCUUCUUCGUCAUCAUAUUCUGAGUCUGCUUCAUAUGACUGCAGUGAUGAGUCAUAUGAAGUGGGAUAAGUUUGAGUGUGGGGUGAUUGCGCUACAAGAGCAAGUGGACCUCCGAAGUCUGAGCAGUUCUUGAGUACAGUGGACUCUUGAGCUUGCAACUCACCAUAGAGCUUAUAGAGGGACAACGAGUGAAUCUUCACGUCUCCUUGAACAAUCAUUUUGGUUGUUGUCCAAUGUCUUCCCAAGCCAUUAAGGAACUGUAUGUUUGUUUCAUGAUUGCUGCAGACGGUGCCCGCAUUGGACAGUUUUUUGACAAUCAAGUUGAAUCUCUUAAAGGAGUCUUCCAAACUUUCACCGGAGUGAGCUUUGAAGUUGUUGAAUUCGUUGAGAGCCGUAGUGAGCUUCUUGUCUUGAGCUUGCUUUGAAACUUCGUACAAGUUUUUGAGAACAUCCCAAAUAUCCUUUGCUGAUUUGCAGUUUAUGAUGAUGUCAAAGUUGUCAGGAGCAACUCCACAAGAUAUUUCAUAAAAGGCAAUAUCAUCAUUUUCCAUCUUGUCGAGAUCAUCUUUGGUGGGACGGUUCAAAGUUGGUUGACCUCCUCCCAGCCUUGCAGUGGCUCCAUCAGUUUGGACUGGUGUGAGGAAUGGAACAUGUGGUCCUUCAUCUAUAGAUCGCCAAAAAUCUCUACCAAGUCGUCUGAGAUAUCUUACCAUCCUUUGAGACCAGUGACAGUACUCAUUUGCAACCAGUAUUGGGACUCGAUUAGAACCACCAACACUGUUGGAGACAUUUAGUGAUAACGAUUGUGACAUUUUGAAGAAUUUUUUUGUGUUUAAGAAAUGAGCUUCAGUGGUAUAGAAAGCUCUUCGAAAAAUCAGAGUUUCGAUUUUCAAAAGGCAACGACUAUGGCUCUGAUACCAAUUAUUGAGAGAAAAACUUUGAGAAACACUUGAACAAAUUGUUAGAACAAGUAUAUAGCGGAAUAGUUAAUCUCGAAGGAUCUGUUAGCUCAACAAUAAUAUUAAGUGUUAGAAAUUAGUGAGUUAGAUGCGGAAAAGUAAAGAAAUGUAAAUGACAACUAUUGUUAUAUCAAGUAUACACAAAAGCAUAUUUAUAACAAGGAAUGCAUUCAAACCAAGUUAGUAAAUGAGAUCUAGCUUAGUGAUUAAGUCACAAGUGACUUGCUCUUUAAAAGAGACAGUAAUCAAUUAUGAGAAUAGGAAGGUUUGAUAAGUAAGAUAGAAUGAAAACUGAUGUGUAUUAGAAUUUGAGAAGAGAUUCACAUCGGUACAAUUAUAUGAGGAAAGAACUCUAUUUAUAGAGACAAUUUAACAACUCUAAAAGUAGCCAUGCAAGGCAUAGUGGACAUUAGAGUGUUUUACAGAAAAGACAAAUAAACUAAGUAAAGAUUAGAACUGUGGUGCAGACGACUUCGGAUGGCCAGAUUUCUUGAUUGCGCUUGCUUAGAGGCUGCGGUAGCUGAAGUUCAAGAGGGUCACUUUUUUUUACUCAACAACCACACUCCAUUUGUGGUAGCUGAGGUGCAGCAGUUGGCACGAGAUUUCCUGGAUCUCCGCCAGACUACUAAGAUAGUGGCAGAGAUCACUGCCAAGUUCUGGGAGAGGGCUUUAUUUUACCACAAUAUGUAGCAGACGAGGAGAUGAACAAAGUAAUGUACCAUGAUAUGUUGCGGGAUGACAUUAGGAAAUUCGUGAAUAGUUCGGGGUACGAGACCCUGAAUAAUAUGAUCUCUAGAGCCCGAGAGCGGGAGAUUGAUUUGGAGCACAUUGAGAAGAGGAGGUCAAAUCAGGUGCAUACUUUAGAUGGUACCGGGAAGAGACCCAAGACUUUUGACCAACAUUCAAGAGGCGAGCAUGACUGGAUUCAGUGCAGCACGUGCGGGAAACUACACGAUGGAGUUUGUCGCUCCAUGGGUUUGGGUUGAUACAAGUGUGUCAGGGUUGGUCACGUCAGCAGGGAUUUCCCUCAAGGGUCAAGCCCAUAAUAUUUUCACGGUGAUCGGGUGGGCCACAAGAAGGCCGACUGUCCGACGUUGUGGGGAGGAGCAGUGAGUGCGUUUGCUUUGACUUCUUUGAGGAUCACCGACGGAUGAGAUGGUAGAGCAGGAGCCCCAAUGGAGAGGAGUUGAGUUCUGCAGGUAUGUACGUUUUGCCUUCUUUCAUGUUAUUUAUAUAUGUAUUUAUGGUUGUUAGGGUAUUGCAUCAGUUUGGGUAAGCAUAUAAUCGGUUUAUUCUCUGCUUGUGUUUGGAUUAAUUUUCAAGAAAUUUCAUAUGACAAAUGCAUGUCGUGAAUUAUUAGUGUUUAGUGUAAGGUCUUUUCCAUCAUGUUGGUUCAUGGUGCUCAGCAUUAUCUCGGCUCGUAAUCGAGAUUGGUUCAUGGACUUCAUGUGGAAGGUCUACAGUCAGGGUUCAACAGGGUGGUUAUCCACCCACGUCAGGUUUCAGAGGGUUCAAUCAUUAUGCUCAGAUGGACUCAUGGGGUCGCCAAGGGAAGUGGUCUACUACCGAGGUUUUGGUCGAAGUGUCGGUUAUUUGGAGCUCAAGACCUAAGUACGAAAUCAUUUCAAGGAAUCUGGAGUUAUUAGUAUUGCUAGAGUUCAAAAAGUGUUCAUCUAGUCUUCAUGGGUUGAAUGGUAUUUUAAGUUAGCCAAGUAAAUGGGUCGCUAGCUUUGGUAAGCGCCGAUUAUCAGCAGAUCAAUCAUUGGAUGGUUGGAAGGAUUAGAAACCCUUCCAUUUCUCGUAUUCUAUGGAGACUUAGUCGGAUCGAAGUGGGGGGAACUAUUCACAUAUCCAGAAUAGAAGUCGAUAUGAAAGUGGGAUGAGAUCAUACCCCUAUCAGGGAAGGAAGGGUGGCCCAAGUGGCUGCCCGAAUGGAGGAUAAUAUAAACGGGAAGUUCAGAAAACUCCCCGACUUUAGGAUCACAUUAGAUUGAGUUGUAGCAAACUAAGGGGGCCCAGGUUGAGGAUCCAGUCAGGGCAUGAGUUCAGUGUGGGAUGGUAGACCAUGUGUGUGAUCGACCUUGGGUGUGUUCGGAUUGGUAAUUAGCGGUGGAUUUAGUAUGGAAAGUGAUGUAAGAUUGCGGGAUUGUCGUAGCAUUCACCAUCAGCCAGAUAUCAUGUAAGGUGUUAAGACUGUAGGAUAGACAUAACAUUUACCAGCAUCCAGAUAGCAUCGAAUGUGUUGUAAGAAUGCGGGAUAGCCGUAGCAUUCACCAGCGGCCAGAUAGUGUGGGGGAAUAUGAUAAGACUGCAGGAUGGCCUGUAGCAUUAGUCACCAGACAGCGUAGAAGUGUUGUAAGACUGCGUGGUGACUCGUAGCAUUCACUAGUUAGCAGGUAGUGCAUAAGUGUUGUAAGACUGUUGUGUGGCCCGUAGCAUUCACUAGUUGGUAGAUAGAGUAGAGGUGUUGUAAGAGAUCAUCAAUCAGUAGAAGCGGGUAAUGGUUCUUCAUCGUUAACUUGUUCAGCUCCCGAUAAUCAAUGCACAUCUAGUGUGAACCAUCUUUCUUCUUUAUGAACAAAAUCGGUGCUCCCCAUGGCAAACUGAUUGAUGGGAUAAACUGUUUGCCUAACGGCUCCUAAAUCAGAGAGAAAAACUCCUACAUCUCAGGUGGUGCUAAGCAGUAUGGCAACUUAGCAAUCGGGGCCGCAUCGGGAACCAAAUCAAUCCCAAACUCAACCUGCUUUGUAGGAGGCACGUUAGGUAAAUCCUCUGGGAAUACAUCUGUAAACUCUCUGACUACAGACACAUCUGAAAUUGAAACGCCCCAUGUAAACCAAGUGCUAACAACAUAUGCUACGUAACCCAAGCAUCCAUGUUGAAGAUAUUGACGAGACCUGGCGGCUGAACAAAAGGCUGAACCAACUUAGGUACCCUCGCCAUAAACAAUCAGUUCUCACCCCCUUGGGGUUCAAACUAUCACAUGCUGCCUUUCACAGUAGAUGAUGGCUCUAAAUUUGCUCAACUAAUCCAUACCCACUAUCACGCACACAUCCCUAUAGGGAUGGGAAUUAGUUCAAUCGGGUAGGACACCCUGAAUAUCUCCAAUGUAUAGUUCCAAAAAAAACUCGAGGUUCCAAUCCCAUGUUCUUUGGCAAUGGAAACUCGCUUCAAACACUCCAACUCCCUAACUGUCACAAAAAAAUCUCUAUUGAAGGAUUGUGAUACAAAACACUGAAUCGUAUCCGAUUCCAAAAGUACAAGAGUAGGAAAAGAGUUCACUAAUAAUGUACAUAUCAAAAAUACAAUCAUAAGAAGAUAAGGAAAUAACUUGACAGAAUAAUAAAUGAAUACAUUCCAAUAAGGACCUCAGGCGCCACGCAUGGCAUCCUCUGCUAUGAGCUGAAAAGCACAACCCCUAGCUCGCGAGGUCUCAGCCCUCUCAUGUUGCCCAUCUGUGAUCCGAAGAGUGGUCGGAGCUGGUACCAGCACCAAGUUCCACUAAUCCUUCACGACCAGAUGAAGAAGGUUCAGGGCGUACCUGACCUUCUAGUCUUACUGACAGGAACAAGUGAAAAAGCAGCCCUCCACAUUAGAUAUCCAUCUCAUAUCCACGAUCGGGUCCUUGACCCCGUCGAACUCCGGUGGCUUCAUGUUGCUAAAGUUGAAGGGUUUUGAGCAUUCUAACACUCUUAAGGUGUACAUGCAACCCUAAAUACCAUGGAUCUAUGUUUUCUCUAUUAUACAUGCAAACUUGAACUUUCCAAUGUAUUACCCUAACUAGCAUACAAAAGUUUGAUACUUGGGUAAUAAAACAAGUUACAUAACAUACCUUUUCUUUUAGCUUGUUGGAAACCUUGAACCUUUAGCCUUUAAGAGCUUAGCACCAAUAGUAUGAAUGCCUCAAGAGGAAUCACAACACCUCUAGAACAAAAGGAUAACUUGAGAAAAUAUUCCUUGCACACACAAAUCGGCCAGCCCUCUAGUAUUCCACAUAAGUGCUCUUAGGUGCCAAAUUUGGUAGCCAUAGGGUCUUUUAUAUAGUGUAGCAAACUAGGGUUACACCAUGUAAACCCUAAUGACUUUUCAUGUCCCUCAUGCUCCAUGGGUUAAAACCUCCAUAGAGUAUUCAUGGGUCACCACAUGGGUUUAGUCCAACAUGAAGAACUAUGGAUCAUAAGCCCACUUUAUAAUAAUGAAUGAUUUACCAAAUCAACCCCUUAUAUUUAAUUAGUCUCUUUUGAUCACAAAAUUAAUUAUUGAUCAAUACUAAUUAAAUAAUAUGAUUUCAUAUUAAUAUAUUAGAACUUAUAAUAUAUUAAUAAACCAUAAUAACUUCUUCUCCAAAGUCCAUCAUAUCAAAUUGUCCUGAUGAUAUGCAACCUAAAUGGACCAUGCUACUCUCGGAUCAAGUACAUACCAAUUAUAGUUAUGGACUUAGACACUAAUCCAAAAGUCUUUCACUUGGAUAAGUCUAAUAACUAUUAUUGCAAGUAUGAGUCCACAACCCGUCUAGCAAUCGUAGCUCUUAAAAGUCGUUGUCGAAUUCUAACCUAGUCAAUGACGUGUCCAUUAGAUAAGGGAUCAUAUAUUCCUCCAUGCUGGAUAUCAUAUGGACUGAGACAUGGAUUAUAAUCAUUCACUCUAUCCAUCUGUUGUUUCCUGAUUUCUGAUUUAUGACAACUGACUAAUUGAACAAAUCAAAUCAAUCCGGGCCUGAUGUUAUCAAUAAAUCAUCGAGGGGCCCACAUAUAUCACUUUUAUCCACAUGGGGUAAAAGGAACGGAUACACUUCGACCCAAAUGCUUGCUUGUAAUUAAUCAUCAAAUUACACACAACGAUAUGUUUUAUAGCAUCCAAGUAAUUGGUGCGUUUACAUAUGUCAAUGUGCAACCGACUUGCAACUACAACUCACAUGUCUCCGUUUCAAGAAUAUAAGAUAUUAUCGUCUCACAAUCACUCAUGAUAAAAUCCAUGAAGUGAUUCAGAUGAACGUGAGUUGAAUCCAAUACUCGAAUCUUAUUCCAAGAGUACUCAUGAACACUGCAGCCACCUUGUCCUAGACAAACUACAGACCUAUUCAUGACAGUCUUGCCUCAAUACCUACUUCCAAAGUAUGAUCGGCUGUGGAUGGUUUGAAUAACCUAGUUAUUCAGGAAGUCAAAACAUGCAAAGUGAAACACAAGAAUAAUAUUAAUCCUAUAUGGCCCCAAAACAUUUGAUCCAUAUUGAUUACUUAUUAUUCAUUGAAUAAUGUUACGAAUAAUAACCUUAACACUUGAAUUAAAACAAUAGUUAUGCCAUGCUCCAAGCAUGCACACUAUGUUUGUCUAUGGUCCUUACUUUGUGAAAUAGAUCAAUUGAAAAACAUUUCAAUGAUGCUCAUUUCAAAAUUCCAAAUCCUUAUUGCAAGUGUAAGAAUUCCAAAUUCUUGUCACUGCUAGAAACUGUUAGAUUCUAAACUAUCAUGCAAUGAUUCUUUUGUAAUGUCUAGGUGCCAAAAGUCACAGAGACUUGACCAAUGAUAUUGCAAAAUAUUCCUUUGGAGAUCGUUACAAGACAAUUCCAGGGAAAUGAAGUCUCAAAUUCAAAGUACAUUCCUUUGAACAUCCUUCUUGCAUAAAAGUUUUUAACUUUCUCAUCUAUUCUUCAACUCCCAAUAAGGAAACAUUCCAUAUUCCAAAUUUUCCAUACGACAACUCAUUAUUAAUAGACUCCUGUCUAUUCAUAAUAAUGUCAAUAUGGUCCUUCCAUUACUAUACUUCCAACUGUCCUUAAGCGACCAAUCCUUGGCAAACCUUAGAUUGUCCUUACUAGUUGUUUAACCACUUUAGUCAUAUCCGGUUCUAUUCCUUUUUCCCUCUUAAUUCCCUAGGCAUUCGGAAAAUUAGAACACGAGAAUAUUAUAGCAUAUACAAUCGAUCCUAUACCCAAAGCAUAUGGGAUACGAUUCUAAAUGUCUAACAUAAAGACAUGAUACUUAAUCAGUCUUGUGCUACAAUAAUUUUUUUAUUUGACAUGUUCUCAUAAUUUGAAUUAUGAAAAGGGAUGCCGUAAUCAUAAUCAAAUUUUGAGAAUGCAAUUAGCAUUUUCAUAUAUAGAAUUUCCUUAUGUUGAACCAUUCCAACAUAACAUUCACAUAUAUUUGACUAAAAUUGAUUAAAAUCUCAAUCAAAGUUUUUAGAUUUGAAAUGAAGUUUGAAUUCCUCUCCCUUAAUUAUAGCAAAACAAAUUUUCAAACCCCUGCAUCUUUGCAAAUUGAAAAUUUUGUUUUCUAUAAUUAACAUUGCUAACUUGCAACAUUUUCCAUAAUAAUUAUGCUCGCACUAGCAUAAUAAUUAUUAUUUUACUAGCAUAACACUUAUGCUCCCACUAGCUUUGACAUGUACCCAGAAACCAACUGGACUUUCAUUACCAAAGUUCAAAUUUCUGAUACGAGAUGCUUCGAUAAGACUUUAUCUAGGCUUCUCAAAAUCAUACACAUUUCCUUAGACAAUUCACAUGUGUGUCUAAAUAGUUUUAAGAACUUACAACAGCAAGUCUCAAAUGUUUAGACUUUCUGCCAUUCCUCACAAUUCGAAUUAUGAAAAGGGAUGUCGUAAUCAUAAUCAAAUUUGAGAAUGCAAAUAUCACAACUUCUAUCUCCUUGAAAUCUACUUAGUGAAAGCAUUUCCUCACCAUCAUUUUCAUGAAUCGGAGAGAAACCUUAUGAAACUUAGAUUUCAUGGUGUAUGUGCACCUAUCCAUGUGAAUUUGUCAUAACCAUAAUCACAAGACAAGGUUAGUGACAAAUCCAAACUCAUAUAGACUGAACUUGUUCAAUCUUAAUUUCUUGCCACCUGGCAGCACAAAGGCCUACCAUUGCUUCCAAGUAGCUAUGCAAACAAUUGAGAACUCAUAGAACUCACAUGCAUAAUCAACUUUAACUGGAAUGGGCACAAAAAUAAGAAUAUGUUAACACGACAGAUUACGAACCUCAAGUUGUGUGCUAGUGUUUAACAUUAGGUUUAUUCUUGAUUAGUUCUUGAAACUUGUCAAGAUCUUUAAGACUCCCACUGCCCUCUCGACAUAUAAGACUCUCUUGUCAUGAAUCAUUCCUUGACAAAAAAAAAUAUUCAAGAGUUAGUGUGGAUUUUUAUGAAGACAAACACUUCACACAAUUAGCAUUAGUUGGUCUUUGUUUUAUCCAAAACAUUACAACUUACCAAUUUGAAAUGUACAAGAGUAGAAAAACUUUUACUCUACAUUUGAUAAGUGUUUUAAUCCUUUUUUAAGAUUAUGUCACUCAAGCUUACAAUCUUGGAGUAUGACUCUAAUACUUGUUUUGGGAACGAAGUAUGACUCAUCUUCCUGAUUUAACCAUUUCAACAAUUCACGAUUCCUCUUCUUAGCCAUACAAAUGCACUAAGAUGUCUUUAGAGAAUCAACUGUGAUAUGGUUUUUCCAUCACCAUUAAGAUGAUCAUAAAACAUGAUACUAAAGUACUCUCCCAUCCUUCCAGAUUGGAGAAACCUUUAUAUUUCUGCCUAAUUUGAUUCUUCUCAUUUGUUCUGCCAUAUAUUGAACCUUUUCUAAUGUUUCAGAAUUAUACUUAAACUUGUAAGCGUAACCAUGUUUACUAAACAUUAGUAAAUCAUGACGAAUAGUCUUAUCAAUCCUUGUGGUGGAUCUUGACCAGCACACACACAGUGUACCUGAUCCCCUAGUCCUUCACUUUACUCACAUAUACAUAUGAACAAGAAUCAGUGUUAAUUUACAAAAGAUGAAAAUUCUCAUUCAUCAUACAAUACAACUUGCAUGAUUCCAAGCUUCUGUCCAAUCAAAACUUCGGUGAUGAGAAUCUUUCCUUAUUUGGUAAAUUUUGACACUACCACAAAUGAAAGAAUCAACUCCAUAUUGCUAACAUAGAAACAUGCAAACAUCAAUUUUCACUAAUGCCAUUGUAAGGAGAUAAAAAAUAAAAACAAAAUUUUAUUUAUUUACAAAAUGCGGAAAAAACUUUAAUGCAGUUACAAAUGAAAAAUAUGUUAUUAAAUAUUUCCUAGCAAUCUAUCGUAACUCCUAAGCAGUAGCUCAAAAUCCGAUCUGCAAACCAUGCGAUUGAAAUCCAUCUUCUCGAUAAGAUUCAACAUACUCUUCCUUUAAGCUUCCUUCCCUUUUCAUGAUCCUACAAAACAUCAAAAUGCAACCUUGUCACAUCAUGUAUUAAGAAUCAACAAUUAGGAACUUAAUAGAGUUAGAUAGUAGACUUGCUUGAAGUAGAGUUAAGCUUUCACUUUACCGUCCUUGUGGUCAUUCAGGUAAAUAUGGCAGCUUUGCAACCAAUGCCCCUUUUUUGGCAAUAGAAACAUAUAGACUCUUUGGGAAUGGUACACGGGACAAUCUCAUACUUAGCAUUUCUUUUUCACUUGGAAAGAGGAACCUUUUUUGGACUUCUAAUGUUUCAAUUGUUAAUGUCCACGAAAGUUUGGGGAGUAGAUCUUCCAUUCAAGUUUGCUUUUCCAAUACGCCAAAUCAUUGUCUAUUCAGCAGCAAUAAGCAAAUAGGUAAGAUCAACCAGGGUAAUGUCAUGGUCUGUCACAUAGUACUCCUUAAUGAACUCAUUAUAUGACUCAGGAAGUGAUUGAAGAACCCAGUCAACAACCAACUUCCUUGAGACUUCGACACUCAAUACUCUCAACCAUUCAAUAUGUCAAUUCAUCUCCAAGACGUGAGUACACACAUGCCUUCCAUCUCCAUGUUUCAUUGCAAGUAGGGCUUGAGUGACCUUGAAUUUUUCAAGUCUUUGAACUUGUGGGUUGGGGAGAAUUAUUGGAGGAGAUGGAGGAAGUGAAGUAUGACUUCCACAAUCCAAUCACGGGACAUCAUUUUUAAGAGGAAAACUUGUUCCAAAGAAUUUGGGAAGACCACAGAUGUCUGAACUAGACAUCUACAAUGGGAGAAAUUCAAAUUAGUUGAUUUGGUCCUUAAUAUAACACCCAAAGGAAAUAUUAAGGCUAGGACCCAACACAAUAAUUUACAAUUUGUAAGAGGGAUGUUGUCACACCCCCAAACCGCAAUGGUGGAAACGUUCGGGGGCGGAGGACGUCAUGCUCAGUAUCACAACAAAUGUAGAAUAGUAAAACAAGCAACAACAACCAUAUCAUUAAUAUUAAAUUGUUUACAUUGUAUUCGAUUCAUAAAAGAUUGACUACAAAAGUAAAUAACAAAACAAAGAUAUGAAGCUACUAUGCUCCAUCUUCUGAAUCCAUGUACGUGUACAUGUCUACUAGUUUCCUGAGAAUACAACUGAUUUUGAAACUGUAUCAACAUUUAAGUUGGUGAGUUCAUAAGUAUUUACAUUAUAAAAAGUACACUCUUAGUUGUUUGGAAAAGUUCGUCGGUUCCUCCAUAAAAUCCUAUAUUUUCUGAUGUCAUGAGUGAUAAGUAAAACUGACUCUUACAAUUCUUUCUAUAAGUACUUAAUGAAUACAAGUUAUAUACAAUUCAAAUCAAACAGACAAUCGAUUUUGUGAAUCUGCCCUAAGCCCAUAACCAAACAAGGAACAGGAAAUGAGGCAAAAGUUACACAUCCCAUUGUUUGUUAGAUCAUCAUUGUAUAUAACCCGGACAUAUUCAAUAGAUGCUUACAGAGUUAACUGUAAUAGUUCUUUAAAAUAUGAUGAAAAUAUUCAUUUAAGAAAAUCUUAUAUUUCCUUUAAGUAUAAUGGUAACCAUAAUAGUUCGUUCUACAAUCACUUAGUUUAUACAAGCUAUAUAUGACCUAAUAUCGAACGGACAGUUAAAUGUGUGAAUCUGCCCUAAGCCCACAACCAAACAAGGAACAAGAAAUCAGGCGGAAAUCACACAUUCCACUGCCUAUAUAUAAAUUUGAUGUAUAAACUAAGGAAUUAUAGAAUUAACCACUAAAGGUCCUUUAUGUUAUACUAGUUUGUUAACAAGUGUUGAACCUUUUGUAAAAAGCUUCCUAAUUCCAUUUACUCUAAUGUAAAACAUUGUUUUCAGAAAGUUCUAUCGAAAACCUUUUAUCUUUGAAAUAACGAUGUUUACCAUAGAAAAUCCUAUAUCUUAUAUAAACCGAGUUGUAGUCUUACUCGUUCCAAGACCAAAAAGCACAAAUACAAAUAUUGCACUUACUGUAAUGUUAUUUAGUUUUAUUGAUAAGUUAGACUGGCUGGAGACUUGGUUGUUCUGGAAACCUGAUGUGACGAUACUACCCUCCUAUGAUUACUUAACACAUACGAGUUGUAUAUAACCGAGAUCGAACAGACAGUUGAAUGGGUGUAUCUGCCCUAAGCCCACAACCAAACAAGGAAAAGGAAGUAAGGCAAAAGUCACACAUUCCAUUGUCUAUCGGACUUCAGUUUUAUCUAACUGUAUCGUGUUUAUUAAGUAAUAACAUAGUUAAUAUCCCUUUAGAUUUGUUUAAGAAAAGUAUAUUACUACGUAAAUAUGUCGUUGUUAUCUACUUGUGAGUUUUAUGACCAUACUAAUUGAUACAAUGUGAAUCGGACGCCAAUAUCGUUUAUGACGUUUGUCACCCGCAGACAUGCCGGUCCGACUGUAGCUAACAGUAGAGGUGAGGGAUUGUCGGUCCCAUAUAGAUCUAUACACAAACUCACGCUCUCCCGCAAGGAGACUCUGGUUCAUACGGGUAGACUUCCACAGGUACGUAUGUAAGUACUCGAAGACGUGUCUCACAAACUAGAUUAAUGACUUUACAAGUAAUAAUGUGAAAACCCUUUUAAGUAACAGAUAAGUUUAUAAAAAUAUCCUUUUUUUUCCAUUAACUAUACUUAUUAUAGUUUAUAAGCUUAUUUUCCAUGCUGUAAUAAGUUUCAUGUUUUAAAUACAGUUCAAUGGUAAGAAAGACAUAAUAAGCAAUUUAUAUUUUAAAACACAACAUUUCUUGUGUUUUACUUGUAUUCCCCCUAAAACAAUUAAAAAGUUUGGAAAAAAUAUGGGGUAUGAACUCACCUUAUGUUGGAGAUUCGAUUGAAGAUAUGAUAUAGGAUGAUAAGUUUCACGAGUGAAGUCCCGAAGCACAAGCGAGUCGUAUUUAGUGAUUUUAACCAUAAAUAUAGCAAGGAAACAGACCGAAUUGCAAGCUAAACUUACAAAAGAGGGUGUUAGAAGCAAGAAUGGAAGGCUGAAUGGAGUUCAUGGCCUACACUUGGAGUUCACGGCCCAAGAACACUUAGUGUUCUUGAGUUCACGGCCCAACAAGCUUGACGAAUGAUGAAGAUGCAAGUGUUUUAGGCCUAGAAGUCCCUAGAAUGAUGAUGAAAUGAUGAACACCUUGAAGAUCCAAGCAAUAUUCUAAGAAAAGUUGAAGGCUUGAAGAUGAUACUUGAGAGAAAAUUAUUGAAGUUUGCGGCUAGGAGUGAAAGAAUGAGGAAAAAUCAGUCUCACUUAUAUAUAUAUAUAUAUAUAUAUAUAUAUAGGGUAAGGAUUCACGACCGAAGGAUGGUUCACAAGCCGAAGUUCACGGCCGAGGGUUCACGACUCAGAAGACUAUUCACGGUCCGAAGAGGUUCACGGCUCCGAAGUGGUUCACUGUCCGAAGGUUCACAGCUCGGAUGUACAAGGUUGCGAGGUGGUUUGAGGUUCGGCCUCUUGGUUUUCAUGCAUUUCAUUCCAAAUUCAUGCAAUACUUCUAAUUUAAAGGAUUUUGAACCCAUCUAGAUUUUAAAUCUCGUUAAUUUAGAUGGAUCAAAAUAAUAAGUUUGACUUUUGUUGACCUAAAACAAUGUGUUAUUACAUCAUCCCCCCGUUAGAGAGAAUUUCGACUCGAAAUUAGCUUUCUUAGCAGGACUUUUGGGGUUGUGCUCCUCUGAAUGGUCGAAUAUCCACAUGUAGACACGACAACUUUGCCUGAAGUUCAUGAUAGGAUUUAUACAUGGUCCAUCUCUCAUUACCUCAUAUAUAUACAAGACGUAUAUAAUUAAGAUUAGUAGGACGGUAUGAUGUACGACUCGGCCUUAGGUUCUCAACCAAACAAGGAACAGGAGAUAGGGCAGAAGCAUACAUUCUUAGUCUGCAGAAUCUUAAUUAUAUACUACUAUCACAUAUACACUUAGUAGUGAUAAGUUAACCGUAUUCGUCCUUAACCUCUAUGCUUGAACUUGACCUAUUGCACGAGUGGUAAUUCUGGAAGGUUUGUUGGGUAUACAUCAGAAAGGUUACGGAGGGCAAGGUACUCCAUGCAUGAGUACUUUGGGGUCUAGAAUAUGAGAGAGAUGAUUCUGAGGUCUGUGCCGGGUUGUCGUUAUGAGUGACGAGGGUUUCGUUAAUCAGUCGGUUAAGGCGGUGGGUUUUCGUAACACAUGAACUUGGUAUGGUGAGGACCAUGCCAAUCCACGUCGAAUGACGACACCGAACUCUUUAUAGAAACAAGUGUUAAUUCGAUUUGAAAGAAACUUCUGUUAUAAUGAUGGUGUAUCCCGAUGGUGUUCGAAAGUGCAUUAUGUUUAGGCUUUCUAGUUCUUUCUCGAUAUUACCAUUGCCACAAAACGUACCGCAAUAAGAGAGUACUAGCAGUGAAAGUGCUUUGAUAACUAGUGACAAUACUUUAUAUUAUGAUCCUUCUCGGUAACUCUAUGAUCGCUUGGCAUAUACAAGUUAUGUAUAAUUAAGAUAAAUAAGACAAUCGAUAGAGUGACUCUGCCCCAUAUCCACAACCAGACAAGGAACAGAAAAUGAGGCAGAAUCACUCACUCUAAGCCUGCAAUAUCUUAGUUAGACAUAACCCUAAUGUACAUACUAAGCCAUCAUAGCUUACCUGUAUGGAUCUUUAGUGCUCUUAUGAAUGUUGUGACUUGUUCGGAUGAGUGAGUUAUUUAUAACUACUUUUAAAAUUUUCCCCAAGUUUUAAUAUUAGGUAUUGUUUGUUUUUUGGAAAAAAAUCUCUUCAGACCUCUUAUUGUUGCGCGGCGCGGCACACGCGCAACACUUUUCAUCUCGCAGCUAUUUGUUUUUCAGGAUUCUUCGGAUUAAACAACCUCUGCAUGUGUUCUUCUUGGUGCAGCACUUGUUUUGCCUCUUCCUACCUCUUCCAACCUCUUCUUUAAUUUUUCUUGCUAAAAUAUUGAUUAUAUAUUGUUGAAAUCUUAUUACACAUUUUAUCUUUGUUUUUUUUAUUUAUUUAUUCUUGUUGAUUUUUUUUUCUUUUCUUAUAUUGAAUAAUAAUAAUUUGUUGAUGAAAUAUCAUUAUUUUAUGCGAAAAUAUCUUCAUUUUUUUGUUAAAAUAUCAUUAUUUUUUGCUGAAAUAUCAUAAAUUCUUGCCAAAAUGUCAUACAUUAUUAAAUUUUCAGUAUUAUAAAACUAUUUUCGGAGUAUAAAAUCAGUUUAUUUUAAUCUUUUAAUAUUUGCAGCAUUAUGCAAAUGUUAAAAAAAACAAACACGCUUCUUAUUAUAGUUUGCAGCCGUUUGGUCCACCUUUUCUACUGCAGAGGGUUGUAGAGGUGCUCCGCAUACUUUAUGGAUUUUUGCUUCAAAAAAACAAACAACACCUUAAUUUAAAUUAAAUCUUUAAUGUAAUUUUAUUUAGAAGACGUACCGAUGUUCGCUGAUUGUUCCGGGGCAGUCUCUUCUGCGAUGAUCAUCAGUAUUCGCCCUUCCCUGGCGAAGUUCUUCGUUAUUGGGCAGUCCCUCUUGUAGUGCCCAGUCUCACCACACCCAUAACAGGCCUGGUUUACUUCUACUCCGGGGACUUGGGAGAUUGGUUGUGCCGACGCACUGCAGAAACGAGCAGUGUGCCCCUUCCUGCUGCAAUUCAUGCACUGCAUCUCCCGGUAAGCUCCGGUGUGGUGGUAGUUACACUUACUACACUUCGGUAGGGUUCUAGCAUAUCGACUAACAGGCACUGGAGUGGUAGGUGUUGUGGCGGCGUGCAUAGUAACUAUUUGUUGCUCUUACGAUGGUUCCUGUGUUGUUGGUUCCUUCCUCUUGUUCCCCGACUUUCUUUUAUAGUCCCCUCCCUUCGUUGGCUCGGAACGGGGACCACGCCAUGGCAGACUCUAUGGUUAAUGAGUCUCUGGGCCAAACAUUUUACACUAUCGAUGGGGGCUGGGUUAGAAGAUAGUACAUUCCCUUGAAUCUGGGCAUAUAAGCCCCAGAUGUACCUCUGUAUCUUUUUACUCUCCGGGGUAACCAUCAUGGGGCACAGUGCUGCCAGGUCACUAAACAUGUUAGUGUAGGCUACUAUGUCUGUGUUGGCCAUGGUAAGAUUCCACAGCUUGUACUCCAGCUUUUAAACUUCACCUCUUGGGCAGUAUUCCUCCAUCAUUAUCUCUUUCAGGUUAUCCCAGCCCAUGGAAUUAGCCACUGAUAGGUUCAUUGACUUAACAUGGCCAUUCCACCAUGUUUGGGCUCUGUCAGAGAAGGUGCAUGCAGCAAACUUCACUUUGCUCCCUUCUGGGCACAUACAGAUUUCAAAAACUAAUUAUGUUUUCUCGAACCACUACAUCAGAGCAAUGACUCCCCCAUUUCCAUUAAAGGAUUUGGGUUUGUAGUUCAUGAAGUCCUUGUAAGAACACUCCCAUGGGUAUCAAUGGGUAGCUCUGGGGUUAGUUAGAUGGGUACCGCUACCAGAUCCACUAGUACCACUUACACGAAUUUGAGUUAUAGCAGUUGUUACUGUGGCUGUUACCGCUGCUUGGAAAGCAGCAUGAUCGUGUUGUGGUGGUGGAGGUGGUGGUGAUUCUAUGCGCCUUACAGGUCUACCGCGAGGCAUCUUUUCCCUAUAAAUAAUAAAAGAUUAAACGGUGAUAAGUCUAUAGCAGUGGUUAUAAGUCAAAUGCUCAUUAACUAAGUUAUCCUAGUUCUGAGUGUAUCCGGUUCUGAUUUUCAUAAGGUUCUGAUUUUCAUAAGGUUCUGAUUUUCAUAAGGUUCUGAAACAAUUCAUAAUGGCAGUCUAUAUAAAAUAAACUUCAUGAAUCAGUAUUGGCUACCCUCGAAUGAAUUUCUGUGAAUUUGAAUAACUGCUACCAGUUGUUACGAAAAAUGAAAUAAUCCUAACACAUAGUGUGAGUAGUGUAUUCACUAACUCACUAAGUCAUUUUAGGUUAUUAUUUAUUUGUGUGACGCAUAAGACGUUUGGUUUCUUCGGCUGAUCCCUCCUUGGACAACUCCUGAUGAAUCUCUUCUUGUUCCUCCUUGACUCCUUUGUUGACUGCUAUGAUGGAGUGGUUACAUCUAUCUAGAUUUGUCGUGCGAGAAUGGUAGUGUCUAAAGAAUCUAUGAGAUUAAGUGAUACAUUAUGGGGUGAUCCUUACCGGGUCCUUCUAUAACUGCGCAGUGUAUACAAGUUGUAUAUAAUUUAAGAUUAAAUAGACUUUCGACUAAGUGACCCUACUCUAAAACCACAAGCAAACAAGGAACAUGAAGUAGAGCAUAGAUCACCAAUUCUAAGUCUAUAAAAUCUCAAUUAUAUAAAACCUUGGGAGUAUACACUCCAAAAUUAUAGACCUACCAGUAAGGGUCUUUUAAAUUUUCACAUAAGUUAUUUAUAGUGCGUAAAUACUCCUAUAGUAUUUUAAUGGUAUGAACUUAGUAAGUUUUAAACUUGUUGUUAUCUUAUAGUAUCAUAAAAUGCUCAUAUAGUAUUUUAACUUGAUGUUCUGUUCUAGAAAUCCUUUGUAUAUAGAGUUAGGUAAGUUUUACGUCUGUUGCAACACCACAUCACUCCCAAACACAUGUUGGUCAUAUCUCAAAUAAAUAUAAUUGAUCAAGCUAUAUUGAUCCCAGAUAUGAUAACAUAACUAUCCAGGUUUGACCGCAGUGAUAUGUGUAUUUUUAUAUAUAUUUUUAUGCACUUUAUCUUAAUAUUUUGGCCUUAUUUAUUCUAUUUUAGAACUAAAAAGUACUCAUAAUACUUUGAAUUAUGCUUUGCAGCUAUUCGUUGCCGAUGAAGCACAAAAGAAAAGACUGAAGCGGAAACCGGACUUCGAAGCUAAAAGAAAUCAAAAUUGCUGAAGGAGUGAUUACGCCCCGCGUCCAGAGUGAUUACGCCCCGCGUAAUGACCAAAGCGACUUACGCCCCGCGUAAGGUAAUGGUACGCGCCGCGUACACGCUUGCCUCGGAUAGACUUGAUCGCGUGAUUAUCUUGAGUACGCGCUGCGUAAUCCUAAGUACGCCCAGCGUACUUAGGUCGGCCACAAAGACUAUAAAUGUCGAUUUUUAGCUAACCAGGAAGGGGGAUUCGACUUCUAACCUAAUUUAGUCAACAAUUAACUUCUAUUAAGCCGUUUUGAGGGUCUAGAAGGCGGCCGGAAGGCUGUUAAGCUAACGGGAGCAGAGAUCGGAAGGAUUGGAGAGCAGAUACAUGUCGGUACUCAUAUGGAUUGCUAACGUGACCAUGUUUAGCAUUCCAUUGUGGUACUUUUCUGUAUUUAGUUUCUGAUUUAGGUGUAAAAACCUUUUACUUUGUGUUUAUGAUUGAAUGAAGAUUUGAUUAUUAGACUAAUUGCUAUAUUAAAUAGUUUAUUUGUGUUUAAUUUAUCUUGCCAAGCUUGUUAAAAGAUCCUCAUGUGUUAAUGAUGAUUAUUUUCUGUUAAUUGUUAAGUGAAUUGAGUUGCUUGAACAUCUGCUCGAUUGCUUGUCUCUUAUGAUUUUUGAUGACCAUUGAGAUUAUAAGACUAGAAAUAACGAAUGUGAAACUAGGAUUAACUUGAGAAUAAGUAAGUUAAUGUGUGAGCCUUGUUUGAUGACCAUCAACAAGAGGUUAAUUAAAUGUCUAAAUUGAUUAACUAUAUUUACAAGUCUUGCUCGAUACGAACUGAACACUAGGAAGCAUGUUAGUUUAAUCAACUGAUCACUGUUUGAAUUGACUUGUUUGCUAAAGGAUUAGUUAUAGUGAACGCGAAUCUAAUCAUUUUAGGAAUCGGUGAACAUUGAAUAAAUGAAUUUGUGUAUGCAAUUGUCUAUGUUUUAAGGUGUAAUUUAUCUAAACCAAAGUACCUGAAGAGAUGUGCUUUCCUGUUAGUUUAUCGAGAGUUGUUAAUUGUUAGUUUGAGAUUUAUUAAACCAUUUUCUUUAUUAUUUCCGUGUGAUCUAUAACCUAUAAUCAACUAUAUUAAAUUAAUCCACCGUUCCCUGUGAUCGACACCCGACUUACCUAAGCUAUACUGUAAUCUGACUAGGUAUACUGCCUAUAAGUGCAUAGAUAGUCUAAGUUUGUUAGGUUAUAAAUAUUAAAAUUAGUGGGUACUUUUGUGCACAUCAGCAGUGUCUAACCUUUAAAUACUUCUGUUUUGUUCUUCUUGUGAUACUUGUUCUAGUAUUUUAUUUAUGCAGGUAUGUAUACUUUUAUAAAAAUAUUGUUAUAUUUUAAAAAUAUACUUUUAGUCAGAGCACUUUGGCCCUAUUAUAUUUAUAGUUAUAUAUCUUUUAUAUGUUGAUAUACUUAGUUCACUAUAAACAAUGCUCUGAUAUCAAUCUGUCACACCCCCAAACCGGAACGACGGAAAUGUUCAGGGGUGGAGGACGUCAUGCUCAGUAUCACAAAAAAUGUAGAAUAGUAAAACAACCAACAACAACCAUAACAUGAAUAUUAAAGUGUUUACAUUAUAUUCGAUUCACAAAAGAUUGACUCCAAAAGUAAAUAACAAAACAAAGAUGUGAAGCUACUAUGCUCCAUCUUUUGAAUCUCUGUGUGUGUACCUGUCUACUAGUUUCCUGAGAAUACAAGUGAUUUUGAAAGUAUAUCAACAUUUAAGUUGGUGAGUUCAUAAGUAUUUUCGUUAUAAAAAGUAUACUUUUAGUUCUUUGGAAAAGUUCGUCUGUUCCUCCAGAAAAUCCUAUAUUUUCUGAUGUGAUGAGUGAUAUGUAAAACUGACUCUUACAAUUCCUUCUAUGUGUACUUAAUGAAUACAAGUAAUAUACAAUCCAAAUCAAUCAAACAAACGAUUGUGUGAAUCUGCCCUAAGCCCACAACCAAACAUGUAAUAGGAAAUGAGGCGGAGGUCACACAUCCCAUUGUUUGUUAGAUCCUCAUUGUAUAUAACCCGGACGUAUUCACCAGGUGCUUACGGAGUUAACUGUAAUAGUUCUUUAAAAUAUGAUGAAAAUAUUCCUUUAAGAAAAUCUUAUAUUUCCUUUUAGUAAAAUCGUAACCACAAUAGUUCAUUCUACAAUCACUUAGUUUAUACAAGCUAUAUAUAACCUAAUAUUGUACAGACAAUUAAAUGUGUGAAUCUGCCCUAAGCCCAUAACCAAACAAGGAACAGAAAAUAAGGCGGAAGUUACACAUUCCACUGCCUAUCGGAUAUUAUUUAUAUAUAACUUUGAUGAAUAAACUAAGGAAUUAUAGAAUUAACCACUAAAGGUUCUUUAUGUUAUACUAGUUUGUUAACAAGUGUUGAACCUUUUGUAAAAAGGUUCUUAAUUCCAUAUACUCUAAUGUAAAACGUUGUUUUUAUAAAAUUCCAUUGAAAAUUGUUUAUCUUUGAAAUAACGAUGUUUACCUUAGAAAAUCCUAUAUCUUAUAUAAACCGAGUUGUAGUCUUACUCGUUCCAAGACCGAAAAGCACAAGUACAAAUAUUGUACUUACUGUAAUGUUAUUUAGUUUUAUUGAUAAGUUAGACUGGCUGGAGACUUGGUUGUUCUGGAAACCUGAUGCGACGAUACUACCCUCCUAAGAUUACUUAACACAUACAAGUUAUAUAUAACCGAGAUUGAACAGACAGUUGAAUGGGUGUAUCUGCCCUAAGCACACAAUUAAACAAGGAACAUGAAGUAAGGCGGAAGUCACACAUUCCACUGUAUACCGGACUUCAAUUUCAUCUAAGUCUAUUAUAUUUAUUAAGUAAUCACAUAGUUAAUAUCCCUUGAGAUUUGUUUAAGAAAAGUAUAUUACAACGUAAAUAUGUCGUUGUUAUCUACUUAUGAGGCUUAUGACCAUACUACUUGUAUUCCCCCCCCCCCCUAAAACAAUUAAAAGUUUGAAAAAAAACAUGGGGGUAUGAACUCACCUUAUGUUGGAGAUUCGAUUGAAGAUAUGAUAUAGGAUGAUAAGUUUCACUAGUGAAGUCCCGAAGCACAAACGAGUCCUAUUUUGUAUAUUAUGACAUAUUUGUGUAUACAUUUAGUGAAAUUAACCAUAAAUAUAGCAAGGAAACAAAUCGAAUUGCAAGCUAAACUUACAAAAGAGGUGUUAGAAGCAAGAAUGGAAGGCUGAAUAGAGUUCACGACCUACACUUGGAGUUCACGGCCCAAGAACACUUAGUGUUCUUGAGUUCACAGCCCAACAAGCUUGAAGAAUGAUGAAGAUGCAAGUGUUUUCGGCCAAGAAAUCCCUAGAAUGAUGAUGAAAUGAUUAACACCUUGAAGAUCCAAGCAAUAUUCUAAGAAAAGUUGAAGGCUUGAAGAUGAUACCUGAGAGAAAAUUGUUGAAGUUUGCGGCCAGGAGCGAAAGAAUGAGAAAACAUCAGUCUCACUUAUAUAUAUAUAUAUAUGGUAAGGGUUCACGGUCCGAAGUUCACAGCCGAGGGUUCACGGAUUUGAAGACUGUUCACGGUCCGAAGAGGUUCAUGGCUCUGAAGUGGUUCACGAUCUGAAGGUUCAUGGCUCGGAUGUACAAUGUUGGGAGGUGGUUUGCGGUUCGGACUAAGCUCUUGGUUUUCAUGCAUUUCAUUCCAAAUUCAUGCAACACUUCUAAUUUAAAGGAUUUUGAGCCCAUCUAGAUUUUAAAUCUCCUUAAUUAAGAUAAAUCAAAAUAAGAAGUUUGACUUUUAUUGACCUGAAACAACGGGUUGUCAUAGAUGCCGCAAUCCAAAUUGCAAAAAUAUUUGAAGGUAGGUAAAUGACGAUUUACCAAUUUCAACCAUGAAAAACGAAAAAGAAUUUUUGGUUUUAAGUGAAUUGAAACUCCUAGAUCCUUUGAGAUUCAUUGAAAAAUUCAAUGUUUAAAUCUCGAUUGUUCCAUUCAAGUUUGUGACUUGGAUGCCGAGGAUCACAAACAAGGUGUGAAUAACCAUGCAAAUUAGCUUGGUACACCCAAUGUUACAACCACCUAAUCAAUGUCCAGGUUAACCAUACAAGCUCCAUUGAUCUAUGAUUAACAUCAACCUACCCUUUUCCACGCACUGUCAGUCCAGAUUAGUGUGUCGGUUAACCACACACGCUCCACUAACGACUUAACAAGGUGCAAAGUGUAAUUUCAUGGGUUAGCCCUAUAUUCACAUUUUCCUAAGUAACUAAGAUUUGGUAAUUAAUAAGUGUUUAGUUACUUUAUAUUUAUCAUUAUAGUUUUAAUGAAGGGAGAAUUAGAGUCCUAUCCUACCCGUUCAACUAACGACCCUCCACCAGUGAAGGAAGCAGUGGGUGAGAGUGGACACCCAUUAAACUGUCAUUUUAUAGGCAGUAACCUUAUACCCCCUUAUAGACCGGCUUUGUGAAUGAGGCCUGCUAACGGUAAAAUUGACUUUGUUCUUAUACAUCUAUAUAUAAAUAUUAAACCAAUAAUAUUAUAAUAGUAUAAGAGUUGAGUUUUAAACUUGUAAAAUUCUAGGGUUUGGAACUAAAUGUGUCAAAAGAAGACUCUACAUUUACAAAUUCCAAAACUUGAGGGAAAGUUUUGAACUUUUUAAAAACUUUUGGAGUCCAUAACUUAUGAGUUUAAUAUAGGUUUAAACGAAAAGACUCUUGAAAAUCCAUAACUUGAAGACAAGUUAUGAAGCUCAUAAAACCAUUUAUGGAAAAAGACACGUCAACUUCAUAACCUAUGAUUUUAAUGAUCUCUUUAAAAGAAAAACUUUUCGUUUUCCAUAACUUGAGGACAAGUUAUGGAAUUCGUCAAAAAAAACAUUUAGAUCAAAACUGUAACAUACAAAACAAUUAGUUUGUCUAUGAUCUAAACUGAACUCAUAAGAACAAGACAAUUUAUAUCAAACAAAUUUCAUGUAAUUAGACUAACCAUAUAAACUAAUACAAAACAUAAAACUUUGACAAUUAUCUUAUAAAGUGGGUAAGCAUGAUCAUUACCAUAUCAAAAACCGGUUUAUAAGUUCAAAAGCAGCUUAGGGAAAUUAUCCUAAUCCAAUUCUAGCCAAAAACAUCGAAAAACUGCAUUCUGGAGCACCAACUCGUCGAGUGCAGGAUUUGAUUUUUAAAGCAUCUCCAAGCAAGUAGCAUCAAGUAUAAUUGAAAACAAGUCUAGGCUCUAAUACCACUGAAGGGUUUUGAGCAUUCUAACACUCCUAAGGUGUACAUGCAACCCUAAAUACCUUGGAUCUAUGUUUUCUCUAUUAUACAUGCAAACUUAAACUUUCCAAGGUAUUACCCUAACUAGCAUACAAAACUUUGAUACUUGGGUAAUAAAACAAGUUAGAUAACAUACCAUUUCUUGUAGUUUGUUGGAAACCUUGAACCUUUAGCCUUUAAGAGCUUAGCACCAAUAGUAUGAAUGCCUAAAGUGGAAUCAGAAAACACCUAGAACAAAAGGAUGACUUGAGAAGAGAUUCCUUGCACACACAAAUCGGCUAGCCCUCUAGUAUUCCACUUAAGUGCUCUUAGGUGCCAACUUUGGUAGCCUUGGGGUCUCUUAUAUAGUGUGCAAACUAGGUUACACCAUGUAAACCCUAAUGACAUUCCAUAUCCAUCAUGCUCCAUGGGUUAAAACCUCCAUGGAGUAUCCAUGGGUUACCACAUGGGUUUAGCCCAACAUGAAGAACUAUGGAUCAUAAGCCCACUUUAUAAGAAUGAAUGAUUUACCAAAUGAACCCCUUAUAUUUAAUUAGUCUCUUUGACCACAAAAUUAAUUCCAAGUUAAUUCUUGAUCAAUACUAAUUAAAUAAUAUGAUUUCAUAUUAAUAUAUUAGAACUUAUAAUAUAUUAAUAAACCAUGAAUAACUUCUUCUUAAAAGUCCAUCCUAUCAAAUUGUCCUGAUGAUAUGCAACCUAAAUAGACCAUGCUACUCUCGGGUCAAGUACAUACCAAUUAUAGUUAUGGAAUUAGACAUUAAUCCAACAAAAGUCCCGGUACUAGAAUGACACCCUCCCUUGGAGUUCCACUGCAACAAUAGUUGUGGUGGCUGCGGCAGCAACAACCACGGUGAUGACAACAGAGCGCUCAUCAAAUAAAUGAAUCAUAGCAAUCUUAAUAAACCCAAAGAACUCUGAGAUCUCCACCCUAACAGCUACGAUCACCUGAGUGGCGAUCAUCUCGUGAAUGUCUUUGUCAGCCAAUGUUGGCCUCGACGGACUGCCCUCUCCCGAUCCGAAACCUCUCAUGAGCACCAUACUGAAAAUGAACCAAAUACAUCGGAAAAUACACAAUUCAUACUAUCACAAUCAUUACAAAAAGGCUAAACCCUCGAGGUUCAUGAUUUCCUUGCUACGUGUACGGGUCCUAUGCUUACAGUAGUACUUGCCCAUACUACCUUCCACACCUACACGUAUUCGUAUCAAGGGGUCUUCAUGGACCAACCUAUCUCAAGACUCAACAUCUAGGAUACGCAUACGUCAUAUGCAUUUUCUCAAGGGUGGCUAAUACCCCCUCACUUUUUCCUGCUACAAGCCAUACUUACCAAUGGAACUUCCACCAACCCUGCAGCCGCUUGUGUAUGCUAAUCAUACAUAACAUUGAAUUCCAUAGACAUUCGAAUACUUCAUUCCACCCUAAGCCCACAACCAGAAAAGGAACAUGGAAUCAGGCUAAAUCACACAUUCUUAGGCUAUAAAAUCUUGGAUAUGUACAACUAUGGUGCAUACACUAAGCAACUAUAGUAAUGAUGUCAUUUCCAUCUAGCAAACAAGAAAAUCUCCUAGGCUAUCAGGUAUCAUAAUUCAUGCCAUUCUAUCAUGCAAUUCCUAAAUAUCCUUAGGAUACAAUUAGCAUGCAAUUCCAUCAUAAUCAUCAUAAGAAAAUAACAGUGUGGGUAUCUUGGGGAAAACUUUCUUGCUUUGGAUGAUCGUACACAUCCCAUCCCUCUUUUGUUACUUUUGGCAAUAAUUUUUUUUUUGAAAAUAGUUUGAAAACUUUUGCAGAUCCUUAGUUUAAGCCUGGAUUCACACAAAUGUUACUCCAAUUCUCUCAAACCAGGGCUCUUAUACCAACUUGUAACAUCCUAAAAUUAAAACAAAAUUUUUCAAUAUUUAAAACCAUUCAAAUUCAUAAGUUUUACAAAACAAAGAUUCCCAAAAGUCAUAACCACAUAUAAGGGUAUCCCAAAAUCAGAAAUCAUAUAAAAGUCCAAGAUUAUGUGCAAGAUCAUGCCUUCGCCUUUCCCCUAUCCUCUGAAGUACCUCAAACCAUAAAUCAAACUAUAAGCCAAAGCUUAGUGAGUUCCCCCAAAGUACCACACACACAACCGAAUAGAACACAUAUGGUAUGUUGGGUCCACAUUCUCCCAACUGGAUUACCUUGACCCACAAUUUGCUGACUGGAUUGCCCCUCUAGCCCACAGUCUCCCUACUGGAUUGCCAUUGACCUUCACCAUGUCGACAUGCACAACAGAUAAACACAUAACUAGUAUUUAUAGGUAAUCAUAUAGAUCUACCAGUCUAACAUAUAAUCAUCAUAUAUAGGUAAUCAUACAGAUCUACCAAUCUAACAUAGCAUCAUCCUAUAUACCAGGAUAUAUAUAACCUAGUGGGCCGACAUUGGUGCCUUCGACCCCUGAGUAAAGUGAGGAAAACUCACCUAAAUGUCCUGAAAGAUAGUUAAAUGGAAUGUUGCUCCAAAAGCCAAUCGAACAUGUUUCCUAUACGAUAAACAGUGUUCAAACCUCAAUCUACUGAUCAAAUUACACUAUUUUCCCUAAAUUCAAACUUGGUCAAUGGUUAAUGGUCAAAAUCCUUACUCAAAAGCCACCCAGCCACUCGUCUUGUCGUGACCAUUUAUUGGUCAUGUCAUAACCAUCUCUUGGUCACAUUGUGACCCUAUAAGACAAAAUAAUCGAGAAUACCCAUUCUCACAUCGUGAGCCACAAGGCCCCACGUCAUGAGAUACGCUCUGAACAUAUUUGAUGAACAAAGCUCAUAAUCCCUCAAGAUAUGCAACCAACACUUUCAGAAUGUAUUAUCUACUCCAGAACAUCAUAAAAAUCGUGAGUUUUUGACAUGCAUGUCCCAAACACAAAGUAGGGCACAAUAGGAAGAAAUGGCCUUAGAAGCUCAUGCAAGAGUACUGAAACUCAACCAUGCUUCGUAUCUAGCACUUUAUUACCCAAGGGACACUAGACAUCCAUAAAGUUGGAAACUUUAUGGAUUCCAAGCACCAUAUCACCAAAUCCAUGAAAGAAAAUGUAUAAAAACCUAAAUCUAAGCUAAUAAACCCAUAAAGUUAUGAUCUUCAAAACUCACAAUGGUCCAGAAGGUGUGGAAAUGAAUGAUGGAGAGUAUUGAGUGCUAAGAUGAUGGCUAGAUACUUUUCUUCUUCAUCUUCUUUGCUACAAAUAACCACAAAUGAGCUCAAAAUCAACAACGGGGUGCUAGAGUUUCAAAGGGGGUAUUAGGAAGUGAUAGAGGCUGAGGGUGGGAUAACCCUAACCGUCACUUCCUUUAAAUAUAGAAAAAAACCCCAAAAAUUAGGGUAUCAGGGCUCACGUCGUGACACCUUAAUGCUCACGUCGUGAGCCUGGUUUAAACUUAAGGAGUUAAUUUGAAAUUCCACAAUGAUACUUAACUUGAAUGGGGUGUUACAAGACCAUCACCAUUUGUGACUCUUCAAACGACGCUAGACAACCCUCGUUCGAGAUCUUAAAACCCUCGUUCCAUAUGUGAAAACCAUAGUAGCGGCGACGGUGUUAGUGGUGAGUUAUGGUAAGCAACGCCGGAGAAAAAAAAAGAGACACUGGACAAAAAGAGAGAGACAAAGUGCAGAUAGAAUGGAGUUUUAGAGGUGCUUUCCUCCAAGAAUUGUGGUUGUGACGGCAAUUUCUGACAAAUAGUGGUGGCAUCCAAUAAAUUGUAGUAGGCUCCGGUAAAUAGUUGUGGUUUUUGGAUGGUGGUUUCAAGUGAGGCAACAGUGUGAUAUAUAUAUAUAUAUAUANUAUAUAUAUAUAGAGAGAGAGAGAGAGAGAGAGAAUGAGAUGGAUAAUAUAUAUGUUAAAGAGAUGGUGGGUGAGUGUGGUAGUAGGGAUGAAUUUUAUUUUUAUUUUAUGUAUUUUUUUUAAAUCAGAAAAUUAGAAUUAUAAAUUAGAAAAAUAGAAAAUCAUAUCUAUAGAGCAAAUCCAUCAUUAUAAUAAAUUUAAAAAACAUUCGNAAAAAAAAAAAAAAAAAAAAAAAAAAAAAAAAAAAAAAAAAAAAAAAAAAAAAAACUAUUUGGACUAGUGAUACAACUCUAAUAUUUUUUGGAUCACAAUUGCAUUUUUCUGUAAAUUUGUUUUCUCCUUGUCUUUUGUUUCCUUUUAUUUAUUCCAUGGUUUUUUGCUAUGGAAUUUUCUAAUAUAUACUCCACUAGGGUGUGAGACCCAUGUAUUAUAUGGGUUUACUUAAAAAAAUUAAAUAUAAAAUUUUAACAAUUUGAAAAGUUUGAAUUUAUAAGAAAAAUGAGAAAUCUUUUGAAUUAUUAAAAUUAAAGAGACUUUAAUGUAUUAGAUACAUUACAUAUAUAAACCAUUUCUAAUAAAUACCUUACAUAUAUAUUACCUUACAUAUUAAAUGUGGAAUUUUAAUUUAAUAAAAUGAAAAAUACAACAAAAUGACAAGUGGAAAAUAGAAAAUUUAAAAAUUCUAUAAAAUGCCAUGUGUCCAAAUGAAAGAGAAGAGGACAUGUGGCAAAAAAAAACUUUCAUUUAUUAUAGUAGAUUAUUCACCCGUUUCAAAAAAAAAAUUAGUUUCCAUAAGUUAUUAUUAUUAUUAUUAUUAUCGUUAUUAUAUAUAUAGGGCUAGGUUAUAUUGUGGAUGGACAACUAUUAUGUGGAUGUAGGGUUGAAUAUGGACAAAUAGUUUAAAUUAUUUUAAAAAAGUCAUUUACAAUUUUAAUUGAAAUAAUGAAAAUGGAAAAUACCACUCUAAUUAAAUGAAACGGGUUAGUAAGGAUAAGAAUGUAAAAUUACAUCACCUACAAUUUAGGCAACACCAGAUUAUUUGGCUAAUCUGAUCAUAUUCUUCCCAUAUUCUCGCACACAUUAACCUUCAAAAAUCCUUACUGUUUGACCAAGAAAUCGGAUUUGAUCUUGUAGAAUCAAACGUAAUCACAAAGCUUUUAUAAACCUAGGUUUCUAUAAAUAACAAUCAGUCGACAUUUGAAACUCUAAAAUCAUUGGGAAUUACAAUUAAUUGAGCCAUAAUUAAAGUUUAAUACUUUUGAAAAUGGAACUUUUAUCUAUUCUUUAACAAUGGAACCUUUAUCUAUUCUUUAAGAAUUUGAUUUAUUUAUUUUUUAAGGAAAUCGAUACAAACAGGCAAACAAAUAUUCAUACUCGUAAAUAACAAUACACGUUCUUCAAUUAAUUACAACAAACACGAAAAAUAUACAUAAAUUCUAAAAGAAUAAAACUAAAUUUCAUUCAUUAUUUGACUAACGUCAGUCAUUCUUAAGAAAAAGAUAUGUGCAAUUCUUGACAAUACAAAAAUGUAUUGAUAUAAAAGUUGAGAAUAAAUUCUGUCAAAUUUCUCCAUAAAGAAAAAAAUGUUAUCUUUUUGUAAGGUGGACCCUUCUAUUCUGAAAGAAUGUUGCUGUUUUUGUAUGUUGAACCUUAGUAUUCUGAAAGAAUGAUGUUGCGUUUGUAAUAUGAACCUUGAUAUUCUAUAAACAACUUUAUUCUGAUCAAGAUAAUAACAAUCAACAUAGUAUUAAGACUAACGGGAGCAACAAGAAUCAUGGCCUUUUACCCCAAUAUGAUGAGAUGCUAGAAGGAUCAUAUACAAGCAUAAUAGAUCACUACUUUCAUCAUUGUGAAAAACAAAAUAUACAAAAAAUCAAAAAAAUUCAUAACAUAGAUGUAAAUACCAAUUGACAAUUCUAACUUACAAAUUCUUAUAUAUAAAAAUUAAGAAAUUAAUUAAAUGAAUAAACAUUGAUGAAUUCUGAUACUACAACCAGAUAAUUCGAAUUGGUAUUGCUAGUAAUGAAUUUCAAUUUUGAUGUUUUCAAACUUGUACUCUAGAAUCAUCAAAAAAUGCUUCCAGGACAUACCUUGGUUUCUAAUCAUAGGGUUCAGUAAUAGAGAAACAUUAGCCCACAACGAGCUCCAACCACCAUGGUCAACCUCAGCUCCAUGAGCCACCCUAAUCAUAGCAACAGCGCCACCACAUCAUCGACUCUGUGAUUCUUCUUUUGAUGGUUUCAAAUUUGCAACACGUUCUCGUAAACUGUUAAAAAGCAUUAUCUAGAAAUCAUAUUAAAAAACAAAAUUGGAUUUAAUAAACAUACAUCAAAUAUAAAAAUGAGAAUUCCAUAAAUAAAAAAUAAUCAAUGAUUAAAAAAUCAGAUUACGUACCGUGUAUCAGCGUUUUCAAUUUUCGGUUUAGGGUUUGGUUACAGCCAUCGGUGAAUUAGCGUGUCAAUAAGGAUUUUCAAGUGUUACCGAUAGUAAUACAAAUCAUUUGUUGUAAAUUGAAACUUGAUUUGAAAUCAUAGGUAUUAGUUGUUGUCGGCGAAGUGUUGAUAGUUGUAAUCGGCAUCCAAGGGAGAUAAUGGUGGUUGUGGUCUUGGCCGGUGGUAAAGUCAAGAAUGCAAAUCGUUUAGUUGCCUAAAUAUAGGCUUUUAAUUUGUACAUACCAAAUUUAAAAGAUUUUAUUUAGAUAUGCAUUAAUUACUUAUUAUGCUAAUUACAUAUUUACCCUUAUAAUAAUUAUAAAUAAUUUAAAUUUUUCUAAAUUGUCAUUGGUUUCUACAUCCACACAAUAGAUGUCAAUCCACAUAUGAACCUANNNNNCCCUCUCAUAUAUAUAUAUAUAUAUAUAUAUAUAUAAAAGUAGGUUCAAAUAAAAAUAUUAAAUAAAAUAAGAACAUGAGAACAUUUCUCAACCAAUCGUUUUAUUUAAUUAAUUUUUAAUAUUUAUAGGUUUUUAGGUAUUUGCUACAGCCAUUAAUAACCAAUUUAAAUUCAAACCCUAAAGUCUAUCAUCCAUUUGAUGUACUUGUUUCCCUCAAGAUAAAAUAAAUCUACAUAUAAUUUUAGCCAAAAUUUAAGAAUUGAUAUCAUGCCUUUUGAAGUAUGCCUUCCUUAUUUCCAUCAAAAUAAAAUAAAUGAUAAUACAUCCAUUUUACAUUUAUGUUUGGCAUGUAUUAUCACUAAAAUAUUGUGUUUGAAUCUUCAAUAUUGAUUUUAAAAGUGUUAACCAUGCAAUAUGAGUUUCGUCUAAUGGGUUAUAAAAUCACUUUAGUUAUAAAUUCGUUUCAUUAAAAAGUUAAUAAUUUUUUUUACUAAACAAUCAUGUUAGACAGUAGACACAUAUGUGAAUCUACAUACCUUUCUUUCUAAUUCUUUCGUGAAUAUUAGUUUUAUUAGUAGCCAUAUAUUAAAAAUUAUAUAUAAUUUUUAUAUGGAUCGUAGUUUGAUUAUGUUUCUUGUAAUUUAUGCAUAAGAAAAUAUAUUCUUAAAAGGAUAUUAAUUUGUUUAUGUUUAUGAAAAUGAUAAUAUUCCAUCAUGAAUAUUGUUUGCGCCAUUUUCUAGAUAUUUUUAAUGGAAGAUAAUAUCAUUCAUAUUGACAUAUGCUUAUAAUCAUAUAUGAAUAACUUUUAUAUCGAAUAUUCUAUGAAGAAUAAUUGUAUUUGAAUAACUCUUAUAUCGAAUAUUCUAUGAGGAAUAAUUGUAUCAUUAUUAUUGUCAUAAUACAAUUUAUAAUUAUUGAAUAUGUUACUAUUUAUAUAAAUGGUCAAAAUUAUUUGGUAUUUUAUUUGUAUGUUCAUAGUUAAAGUUUGAUGUCAACUUUUUGUAAAGAAAGUGAUAUUCUAAUAUGAAUUAUGUCAAAUUUUCAAACUUGAUUCAAGAAAACAUUGAAUUUUUAUUGUAUUUGUUAGUUCAAACUGUAUUUGAUAAAGUGGUAUUGUUAAGGGUAAUUUUAUUGAAAUUUGUUUGUUUCUUUAUUCAUAUUGGAUUUGUAUAAUAAUAUUGCAAAUAAUAUGAAAUUUUUCAUAUUCUAAUAUGAAUAUGUAGCAUACGUUUUUUUAGUACAUAUUUUUUUUGAGAAUAAUAAGCAAAACAUCAGUUAAUUGGAUUUGUAUAAUAAUAUUGCAAAUAAUAUGAUAUUUUUGAUAUUCUAAUAUGAAUAUGUAGCAUACGUUUUUUUAGUACAUAUUUUUUUUUUUAGAAUAAUAAGCAAAACAUCAGUUAAGAAUCUCAAUCAAGCAUAUCAAUAUGUAGUGUUAAUAAAUUUUGAAUUCUCAAUACAUUUUUACUUUUAAAAAUAAAACAAUUAAAUAUCCCUUAAAAUGGGAAACAAAUACGAAAUUAAUUAUAUAUUUAACUAUUAUCCCAAAAAUUCCUGCAUAAACCACCACUUUCCAUGUUUUAUUUAUUACAUUUUCACAAUGAGAAAUUAAAUAUCUUCUUACCUUUUGUUCAUAUUUUUCUUCCUACCUAUUUAAAAUAAUGACACAUGUAAAAAAUUAACAUCCCAAUCAAAUUUAAAUUAAAUUAAAUGACACUUGUCACCAUCUAAAAUAAGCAGGAAGAUAAUAGGCACAAAAAAUAAGAGGAUAUUUAAUUUCUCUUUCAUAAUUUUUUCCAUACACAUGUAAUCUAUCUACCUUUCUAAUAAAUGAAACUUAAAAUGAUAUGUGUCAGGUUUUUAAAAUGUCUCUUUGACACAUGACAUUUUUCUAUGAUUUUUAUUAUUAUUUUUUUUGUAAUAAAACAAAUUCAAUUCAAAAUUUGAAAAUACAAAAUCAUAUCCUAAUAACAUUAUUAUGUUUAUUUUGCUUGACAAAUUAAUUCAUAAUUACUUACACAAUAUCUUGGUUUUUUUACAUGUAUUUAUCUAUAUAAAAAUUUUAAAAAUAUUGAUCGUGGUUUCCACGGGUUAUAGCCUAGUUAUAGAUAUUCUAAUAAUAUUUAAAAUGUUACUUAACAAAUGAAAAGAUUGGUUAAGAAUCGUUCUCACAUUAUUUAGUGUUCUCAUUUGAACUAUCUUCUCUCUCUCUCUCUCUCUCUCUCUAUAUAUAUAUAUAUAUANNNNNNNNNNNNNNNNNNNNNNNNNNNNUAUAUAUAUGUUCAAAUGUUCCUGACAACUAUUGUGUGCAUGUAUUCACCAAUGAGAAUUGAAGAAAGAAUAAAAUAAUUAAAUAAAUAAAUAAAUAAGGGUAUAAUGGCAAUUUUAGUAUAUUUAAUUUUGGUAAAUGAAUAAUUCAAUUAAUAUAUCCUAAAAUAAGGGAAUAAACGCUACAAAACCUGCAUCCCUUUAUCAAUUGUGGACUAACAUAUAAUCACGUAUCCCUUCUCAAAACCUUAUUCCCCUCCAUUGAAGGUCUGAAAUUACAGAGAUUCGUGGUCGAAGUUUGGCAUUUUUGAAACCCAAAAUACCCCAUAUAAUGUUCAUGUCUCUGAUUCGGAUGAUUUGCUUCAACCUGAAAUCAACAUGAGAAGUUUUUCUGCAUCCCUCCUUCAUUCUCGUUCCUGUUAUGGUACAACUGCAAAGAAGAAUUUGUUUAUCCAAUGACAUGCCCAAAUCGAUCCUUUGGCCGCCAUUUCAAAAUUUGUGGAUGUAGUAUCGGGAUUUAUGGAAAAGGUGAGCCUUGUUCUCUCAUUAUUAUAAUUUCUAGUUUUUUUUUUCUGUAAAUAUGAUUGUUUUUUACAUGUGUUUUAACCAGUGGCGGACGCAGACUGUUUUAGUAGGGGUGUCCCUCGUACUUCAAGCGGGUGCACGUAAUAGAAAAAACCAAAAAAAAAAAUUACACUGUGUGCCGGAAAUUGAGCAGUGGCCCGGGACCCCAAAUGUCCUACAUAGGUCCGCCACUGGUUUUAACCGAGGUUUUGAAUCAGUUCUUACACUUGUUUUUUUACAAGAAUUUUGGCUCGUUUGAUGAAAAUGUCUAACAUGUGUUUGUUGAAAUGCUUGAAAGAGAAUACAAAGAAUAUAACCAUGUGGUAUAGAUUCUGUCAGAAUUACUAGCAAUGAGUAUUUUAUUUCUAGUUUUCUUUAUAUAAAUCUAAUUGUUUUUUACAUGUGUUUCGACUAAGGUUUUCAAUCAAUUUUUACACUUGUUUUUUACAUGAAUUUUGGCUUGUUUAAUGAUAAUGCCUAACAAGUGUUUGUUGAAAUGCCUAAAAGAAAAUCUAAAUAAUCUAACCAUGUGGUAUGAAUAGAAUGAAUAGGUUUUUGCAUUUUAAUAUGGAAAAGAAAGAAAACAUGGUAAAUGAUAGUAUAAGAAUUGAUUGAAAACCUUUCAGCAAAGCAUUAUGGGGAUUAUUUCUAACCCUAAACAUGACUUUGAGGAUGAAGGAAAAAAGAAACCAGAUUAUGAGGUUAAUUGCUAACCCUAUAGUUUGGUUGGAACUUUCUUUUUUGUUUAUGUUUUUAGUUUUCUCUCUAAAAAGAAAUUUGAAGGCUUUUGCUCCAACAAGAAAUUCAAAAAAUUAAAAGUAUAAUUUUUAUGUACAAAGCAGUGGUCUUGAUUGGAUAAUUACCACAAAUUUUUGAUUAUGGGUGUAUUUGACAGCAAUUCUACCGGAAUGGAAAAUCAAGUUCUAAUUUUCUGUCAAAAUGAAAGCUCGAUUUUAUGGCAUGAAAUCUCAAAUUAAUCGUUAGUAUUUGAAGGUAUACACUCUUUUAUUGUAAAUUUAGUCACAUUCAUGUCUUUAUUAAUUACAUAUGUUGUAUGUUUCAUCAAAUAGAGUAUAAAGAUCUGAGCAUCCGAUUUUGCCCGCCAAUUGUUUACUAAAAUGCUUGAAUCAAAUAUUUUAGCCAAUUUUUUUGUAAUUUUUGAACUAUCAUAUUGUUGGAUAAGGUGUCUAAGUCCAUAACUUAUUUGGUACAUACUUGACCCGACCCGACAUGGUCUAUUUGGGUUGCACUUCACCCAAACGAUUUAUGGAUAAUUUUAUGAGAAUUGUAUACUUACGAUUUAUUAAUUAUAAGUUAUAAUAUAUUAAUAUGAAGUCAUGUUAUUUAAUUAGUUUUAGUCUUAAAUUAAUUAUGAAUUAAUUUAGAGAUUAAAAAGAAGACUGAUUAAAUUAUGGGCUAUUAUAUUUUAUAUAGUGUGGGCUAAUACUCAUUUGUUAAUGGGCUAAGCUAAUAUGGAAGUCCAUGGAUGAUCCAUGGAGCUUUUAAUCCAUGGAUCCUUGGAAAGGAAAAGACAUGGGUUAUUAGGGUUUCACCCUAACCAUGCACACUAUAUAAAGAAGCAUAUGAUGCAAGAAAUGACACUUGGAGUGUGAGACUUAGUGGUGGCCGAUUCCACAAGAAAGUAUACUACUCUCUCAAAGUUUUCCAAGUGUUUGUGGUGAUUUGUGAUUCCAUUUGAGGCAUUCACACUAUUGGUGCUUGGCUCUCAAACUCCAAACAAUCAACCAUCAUCAAAAGGUAUGUAUUUCUACUAGUAGUUUUAUGAUUCAUAAUCCUUAUGCUAUGCUAGUUAGGAAGAAACCUUGGAAGUUAUUAUUUGCAUGUAUUUUAGAAGAGAACAUAGAUCCAAGGUUUAUUAGGGUUGCAUGCACACUUAGGAAGUGUUAGAUUGCUCAAAACCCAACAGUGGUAUCAGAGCCUAGGCUUGUUUGUUUGAUACUUGAUGCAAAAUAGUGAAAAAAGUUGAAAUUGUUGCUGUCUGGCUGAUGGACUCGCCGAGUCCAUGGGGGGACUCGCCGAGUUCAAGGCAAAAUUCAUCCUACUCGGCGAGUAGGUUCGUGCACUCGGCGAGUAGAAUGAUCAGAAUGCAGAAUUUCGACUUUUGCUGCUGGAAAUGGACUAGAAACAUUACCCUAAACUGUUUUGGUGUUUUAAAACUUGUUUUAGUUGGUGUAAUGGUUGUUCUAAUCCAUUUACAAUAGCAUAUAUCAAAAUUCCAUGAUUUUUAUGUGUUCAUAUAAUUCUUGAAAUUUUGAUGAUCAUGUUCAUGUUCUUAUGAAUUUAGAAGAUGAUAGGAAUUAUUUGCUGAAUUGUUUAGAAUUAAUUCUUGAUCAUUUAUGUGUUUUAAUGGAGUCCAUAAUUUGUCCUCAAGUUAUGGAUAUCCAAAGGUCACUUUUCUUUAACACACACAUUUAAACACAUAAGUUACAUGAAAAUGAAGAGUCUUCAUUUUUAUGAACCUUUAAUUCAUAAGUUAUGAAAUGAAAAGUUUUGGAUAGUUACAAAACUUGCCCUCAAGUUUUGGAAUUUGAAAAGUUUCACACACUUUAAUAAACUUUAAUUCCAACACUUAGAGUUUUAAAAGUUAAAAUUCAACACUUAUACUAUUUAUAACAUUAAUGGUUAAUUAUUAUAUAUAUGUAUAAGAACAAGUCGUUUUACCGUUAGUAGGCCUCAUUCACGAAGCCGGUCUAUAAGGUGGGUAUAAGGUUGUUGCCUAUAAAAUGGCGACUUAAUGGGUGUCCACUCUCACCCACCGCUUGCUUGAUCGGUGGAGGGUCGUUAGCCGAACGGGUAGGACAAUGACUUUAAAUUCUCAUUAAAAGUAUAAUGAUUAUUAUAAAGUAACUAAAAAUUUUUUAUUUAAUUCCCAAUCUUAGUUACUUUAGGAAAAAUGUGAAUUUGGUGCUAGCCCAUGGAAUUCACACUUUGUACCUUACCAAGUCGUUGGUGGAGCGUGUGUGGUUAACCGGCACACUAACUUGGACUAGUAAGGAUCACGAAGGGUGACUUAAUGUUUGUCAUAGAUCAAUGGAGCGUGUGUGGUUAACCGGCACAUUGAUUAGGUGAUAAUAUUAAGGGUACCAAGUGAAUUGGUAUGGUUAUUCACACCUUGUUUUGUGAUCCUCGGCAUCCCAGUCACAAAAUUUGAGAGGGCACACUCGAGAUUGAAACAUGCCAUUGAAAAGUUCAAUGAAUCUCAAAAGAUCUAGGAAUUUCAAAUCCAAUUAAAACCUAAUAAAUUAUUUCGUUUUUCAUGGUGGAAAUUGGUGAAUCGUCAUUCGCCUACCUUCAAAUAUUUUAUAGCUUGGAUUACGGCAUCCCUCUUCCAAAUUAUAAAAUAUUGUGUUGGGUCCUAGCCUUAAUAUUUCAUAUUGGGUGUUAUAUUAAGGACUUUGAAUCAACUAACUUGAUUUUCUCCCAUUAUAGAUGUCUGGUUCAGACAACUAUGAUCUUCCCAAAUCUCUUGAAGAUGGUGUCCCUCAACAUCAUGCUUCACUUCCUCCACCUCCUCCAAUUAUUCUCCCUCACCCACAAGUUCUUGAAAAGUUUAAAGUCACUCAAUCCCUAUUGGCAAGCAUAGUCUAUGUGUGCUCACAUCUUGGAGAUAAAGUCACAUAUUGACAAGCCGGGAGAGUUGGGUGUCAAAGUCUCGUGAAAGUUGGAUGUUCAAUCACUUUCUUAGUAACAUAGUGAGUCUCUUUGGGACUACUAUGAGACAGACUAUGACAUGACCCUUAAUGAUGUUAUCUAUUUGCUUGGUGUUGUGGAAUCAGCAAUGAUUUGGAACACCAGUAAAGCAAAUUUGAUUAAAAGAACAACUUCCCAAGUCUUAAAUGGACAUUGACAAUGGUAGCAUUGGAUAUCUAGAAAAGGAUUUCUCUUCCCAAUGGAAAGGGAUCGGCCAUAGUCAACUCGGUUGACCAAAUGGUAAAGAGAAAGGCUAAGUCUGAGAUAGUCUCAUGUGCCAUUACCAAAGGGUCCAUGUGUUUUGUUGCCAAAGGAAGGGGCAUUGGUUGCGAAGCUGCCCUAUUCACCUGAAAGGUCAUAAGGUUGAUCAAGUCAAGAGGUUUGACUCUACUUCGGGUAAAGUCCACUGUCUAACUCUAUUAAGUUCCUAUUUGGAGAUUCUUAUUACAUAAUGUGAAUGGGUCACAUGCUGAUGUUUUUAAGAAUCAAAGAAAAGAUAGGAAGCUUAAAGUAAGUAUAUGUUGAUUCUGAUUGCGAAGGUGGGUUUCGAUCGCAUGGUUCGGUAAUCAGAAUUUUGAGCUGUUGCUUAAGAGUUAUAAUAUAUUGCUUAUGAAUAGAUAACAACAAGGUUUUCAUGUGGAUUGUAAGGAUAAGUUUUUCCGCAAAGUUUUAAAAAAAAAAAAAAAAAGGGUUUUAAUUUUAUUUAUUUUAAAAAUAUCCUUACAAUGGCAUCUGUGGAAAAUUGUUGCUUAUAUGUUUCCAGUAAUAGCAAUAUUGGAAAGUGGAUUUGAUUCUUUCAUUUGUGGUAGUGUCUGAAUUUACCAAAUGAAGAAAGUUUUUCAUCACCCAAGUUUCAAUUGGACAGAAACUUGGAAUCAUACAAGUUGUAUUGUAUGAUGAAUGAGAAUUUUCAUCUUUGAAAAUUAAGACUAAUUCUUUGAUCACAUGUAUAUGUGAGUCAAUUGAAGGACUAAGGAAUUAGGUACACUGGGUGUGCGCUGGUCAAGGUCCACCACAAAGAUUGAUUUGUCAUGAUUUACUAAAGAUUAGUAAAUAUGAUUAUACUUAUGAGGUUAAGUAUAAUUCUGUAACAUUGGAAAGGUUACAAUGUAUGACAAAACAAAUGAGAAGAAUCAAAUUAGGCAGAAAGAUAAAAGUUUCUCAAAUCUGAAAGGAUGGGAGAGUACUUUAGUAUCGUAUUUCAUGAUCAUCUUAAUGAUUAUGAAACCAUAUCACAAAUUCAUACUCUAAGGACGUCUUAGUGCAUUGUUAUGGCUAAGAAGAGAGGUCAUGAAUUGUUGGAUUGGUUAAAAUCAAGAAGAUGAGUCAUACUUCGUUCCAAAACAAUUCUUAGAGUCAUACUCCAAGAUUGUAACUUUGAGUGACAUAAAGGAAGAUUUAUUAACACUAGUCAAAUGUAAGAGUAAAAUGUUUUCUACUCUUGUACAUUUGAGAUUGGUAAGUUGUGAUGUCUUGGAUGAGACAAAGACCAACUAAGACCAAUUGUGUGAAGUGUUAGUCUUGAUAAGAAUCCGCACUAUCCCUUGAAUAUUUGUUUUGUCAAGGAAUGGUUCUUGACUGGGGAAACUUAUAUGUCAAGGGGACAGUGGGAGCCUUAAAGAUCCUGAAAGAGUUUCAAGAUUUAAUCAAGAGUAAAACCUGUAAUUUAUCACUAGCACACGACUUAAGGUUUGCAACCUAUCGUGUUGACAUAAUUCUUAUUUCUGUACCUACUUCAAAUAAGUUGAAUUUGCAUGUGAGUUAUCAGAGUUCAACUUGGAAGCAUUGGUGGGCCUUGUGCUACCAAGGUGACAAGAAACUAAGAUUGAACAAGUUUAAUCCAUGUAAGGCUGAAUUUGUCACUAACCUUAUCUUGUGAUUAUGGUUUUGACAAAUUCACAUGGAUAGGAACUCAUACACUAUAAAAUCUAAGUGUCAUAAGGUUUCUCUCCGAUUCAUGAAAAUGAUGGUGAGGAAACGCUUUCACUAAGUAGAUUUUACGUAGAUAUCAAUUGUGUUAUUUGCAUUUUCAAAAGUCGUUAGUGGAGCGCGUGUGGUUAACCGGCACACUAACAUGGACUUGUGAGAAAUGGCAAAUGCCUAAGCAAUUGAGACUAUGAUUACGGCAUCCCUUUUCAUAGUUCUGAAAAUUGUUUAGACACACAUGUGAGCUAUCUAAGAAAGGGUGUAUGAAUCUAAAUUUCAGAAGUCCAGCAGAUUUCUGGAAAUAUGUCAGAGCUAGUGGGAGCAUAAGUGUUAUGCUGAUAAUCAUCAUGUUAGUGGGAGCAUGAUUAUUACGUUUAGUGUUGCAAGUUAGCAAUGUUAAUUAUAGAAAACAAAGUUUCAAUUCGUGAAGUUGCAGGGGUUGAAAAGUUGUUUUGCUAUAAUUAAGGGAGAGGAAAUUAUACUUCAUUUCAAUUCUAAAGCUUAGAUUGAGAUUUUAAUCAUCUUUAGUCAAGAAUAUAUAUAUGAAUUUUAUGUUGGAAUGGUUCAACUUGAAGAAAUUCUAUAUAUAUUGCGUUUUCAAAAUUCGAUUAUGAUUACGGCAUCCCUCUUCAUAGUUAAAUUUUGAAAACAUGGCAAAUAAAAAAUAUUGUAGCAAAAGACUGGUCUAGUAUCAUGUCUUUAUGUCAAACAUCAUGAAUCGUGUCCCAUAUGCUUCGGAUAUAGGAUCGAUUGCAUGUGCUAUAAUAUUCAUCUUUUCUAAAUUUUCCAAAUGCUUAAGGCAUUGAGAAGGGAAAAGUCUAGAACUGGAUAUGACUAAAGUGAUUAAGCAAUUGUCGAGGACAAUCUGAGGUUCGCCAAAGAUUGGUUGCUCAGGGAAAGUUGGAAGUAUGAUGUAAGUUGUCGGAAAGGACCAUAUUGACAUAUUCUGAAAAGAAGUAACUCUUGUUCGGAAGUGAUAGUCAAAAUGGGACUAUGGAAAUGUCUCCAUAGGUGGAAGUUAUUCAAUCUAUGUAAGAUUAGAAAACCUUAAUGCAAGAAGGAUGUUCAAAGCAAUGUACUUUGAAUAUGAGACUUCCGUUCCAUAGAAGUUGACCUUCUUUGGAAUACUCUGUAAUGACUGGUGACAAGGUUUUGGUGACUUUGUGCAUAAUCAUUACAAGAGGAACAUUGCAUAAAAGUUUAAAAUCUAACAGUUUUUUUGGUAAAUGAUAGGAAUCGGGGAUUCUCACAUUUACAAUAAGGAUUUGGGAUUGUGAAAUGAGUAUCAUUGGAAUCAUGUUCAAUUGAUCUACAUCACAAUGUAAGGAUCAUAGACAAACAUAGUGUGCAUACUUGGAGUAUGGCAUAACU